rnacentral:lncRNA from 1 species
UUUUUUUUUCUUUUCUGUUUGUAAUCGGGCCAAAUGGACUGGGUGUGGUGGGUUGAGUUGAGUAAUCUUUUAUUUUUGGUUGGAUUGGGCUUUAUAUUUAGGCAUUAGUAUAUGUGUUUUUAAGUUUUAGCAUAAAUUGGACACUUACUCAAAAGUGUCCAAAACAUGUGUCCCUAUAACCUAAUUCUGUUGUAGUGCCCGUAGUUUCACACUUUCUCACUUUAGUACCCUGUAGUUCGAAAUGUAUCAAGUUAGCCCAUGUGGUUUCGCACUUUAGUACCCUGUGGUUUAAAGUGUAUGAAGUUAGUACCCUAUGUUUUUCUUUUUCUCUUUUUAUUAUCCAUUUUACUAAUUUUUUUUAUUAAAUAUGUGACAAAGUUAAAACUAAAGGGUACUAAAGUAAAUAUUCGAUAAAUCUAAGUAGGGUAUAUGCACUAUGAAGUUUUUUGUAUAUAAUUUAACAAAAUAUUAACGGAGAAAAAAAAAAUCAGUGACAAAAUUAAAACUAAAGAGUACUAAAUUUAAUAUUCGAUAAACCUAUGUAGGAUAUCUGAAGUCUUUUGUAUAUAAUUUAAUAAAAUAUUAACAGAGGAGCCGACGAAAAGAGAAAAAUGAAACCACAGAGUACUAAAUUGAUGCACUUUAAACCACGCGGUGCUAAAGUGAGAAAGUGCAAAAUCACAGGGUACUAAAUUGAUACACUUUAGACCACAGGGUACUAAAGUGAAAAAGUGCAAAACCGGUGGUAUUUGAAGUUUUCCCUAAAUUUAUUUCUCAAAGAAGGAACUUAUUUGAAAUUACGGAUCAUUUUGAUUUAGCUAUCCAAUCUUUCAAAAUUUUGAUUUUAAUUUGUUUGAUUUGAGUCAAUCAUGGCACUUUGGCUUCAAAAUUUGAAUCACGGGUUUAGUUAGUAUAUUUUAUGCAAUUCUCGGAAUUAUAAAUUUAUUAAGCUAAGUAAUUAGUUUAAAUUUUUAAAUUAAAAUAUAUCGUUGAGUGACUCAAAUUAAUUAAAUAAAUUGAAAAAUUGAUAGUAAUAUUAAAAAAAUUAAAAUAUCGAAUAGCAGACUCAAAAUAGUUGACAGUUCAAGUAAGUUCUGCAUGUUUUUACCAAAAAAAAAAUCUUAGUCCAUUAUUGGAUACAAAUUAAAAUCCUGACCAUUAAAUAAUGCGAAAGGUAAUUAAGCUUUUAAUUUUUGUAAAUAAAAUUUCUAAGUCCCUCUUUAGUUGUUUCAAUCAUGUUUCAUCAAUCAAAAUGGAUGUUAAAUCAAACAAAAAUUCCUUAAUAAGUAAUUAACAAUAUUUUUAAUCUGAUUUCCAACAUUAAAUGGUUGAGAAUAAUCAAGCAGAAACCUGAAUUAAAUGGAAAUAUUUUUCACAAUAUUUGAUUUUUCAUUCCAAACCUUUUGAUUAUUACUGUUAGGGAUUCACAUGUGACAAUAGUUUUUCACACGAAAUAAUGGAAAAAUAAAUAAAUAAAUAAAUAAAUGAAAAGAUUGAUAUAAGUUAUUUGGAAGUAUUUGAAUUGGAUGAAUUUAUAGAAUCGCGUUUGGUUCGAAAUCGAAAUCAAAAACGGAAUCGGAAUAAGAAUCUGAAACUGGAAUUAAUGAUAAAUGGAACAGUGAAUUCUCCCUCUCCAUUUGUUCUUAUUUUUUGUUUGAGUAGUGAAAAAUUAAAUUUCAAAACAUUAAAUUCAAAUUUGAAUUCUAAUUUAAAAUAUAAUUAAAGCUAAAUUUAAUUAUCAAUUUAAGUUGGAAAGUGAUGUUUAAUUUGAAUAGAAUUGUGGCCAAAACUCUUUAACAAUUAGUAUCAAAGUCCAAUAGUUUAAAUAAUUUGAUUGAGUAGUUCAUUUAAGUGAUGUGGUGAGAACUACAUUUUUGAAGCUGAAUACUUAUUUUUUUUUAUUUUUGAUCAAAUUUUAUGUAACCAUUUGAAUCGAAAAGUUUAAAUUGUCAAAAAGUGUUGUUUUAUAUUUAAAACUUUCCUCGAGUGACAUAAAAUAUAAGGCGAGAAUCACUUGCUUUUCUCGUAGCAGACACCUAAUUCGAUAGAAUACAAAUAUGAAUUUCAAAAUUUAGUAUUCUACACAUAUGCGUAUCCGAAUUCGCAUAAAAAAAAUAAAAAAAUAUGGAUGCGAAUAUGAUUUUUUAAAAAAUCUAACCGUUUAUAUCCUUAAAAGAUAAGAGAGAUGUUAAUAUAUAUUGUAGAAAUAUAAAGUGAUUUUAUUAUUUGAACACGAGUAUGUACCUUUAAUUGUAUUGUUUAUCUAAAUCGCGCUACUUUUAGUUCAUAUUGAUAUAUACAUAUUAGUAUAUGUUAUUAUCCGAAUAAUAUCCGAAUACACCGAGACAUUUCUGAAUCCGAAUUCGUUUUUAGCAGAUAUGAUAACGAAAAUUUAGCAUCUCACAAAUAUCCGCAUUCGAAUUCGCAUAUGUAAAAAAAAUAUAGAUGCAAAUAUGGUUUUGUUAAAAAUCCAUCUGUAUUCGACCGUUUUCACUACUACUAAGUAGAUCUCACUAUCACUUUAUAUAAACAACAUAAACACCCUAAAAAUCUGCUACACAUGCAGGGUUAAAAUGGGUUGGGCUAGCCCAUUAGAUCACAAGGCCAAAAUUUGAAAAUUGGUAGUAGGAUCUCCAUCAUGCAUAGGAAUGCAAACGGAACAGAUCCAGAGGCGGGAGGGGUCCCUCACCUUCCGCUACGUUUCUUGUCUGGUCGGGUCGGAUUCAGAGCGGGUUAAGUAUAAUCCUACUUUUGACCCCCAUUUACUGCUUCAUUUAGGGCAGAUCAGAACAGGAGUGUGUCUUUGGCUGAUUUUUGGCGGAUCAUGACGGAUUUAGAGUAGGUUAUAUUUUUCCAUAAUUUUUUUUAUUUCUUCUUCCUCAUUCGGAGCAAAUCGGGGGCAGAAACUCUACCAACCCAAAAGCAUUUGCAUCCCGAAUUAUACAGUGGAUAAUUUUUUAAGAAAAUGCUAUUGGUACACACCAAAAAAUAUAUAAAUCUUAUGAUUUACACUCCCUCAUCCUAGGGUUUAAAAAUUUUUAGACUUUAAAUAUUUUUGAAAGAAAAAAUCAACAAGACAAGUGCCUAAUAUGAAUUCUUGGAUAAGAGACUUUAAGAAUUAUACCCUCUUUUGGGAAAAAUUUUGAGAUACGCCGCUCGUGGUUUAUCUUUCUUUAUUUUAGUAUUCUAUGAUUUUAAUUGUAUAUUAUUGUGUUUCGUUACAUUCUCCAUUAACUUUGUUUUAAUGGAGAAAUUAACUAACGCCGAGUGUAAUGAAAAACGAAAAUAAAAACAUAAGGUACUUAAGUGAUACAGAUAAAAUCAGAAGAUACUAAAAUUAAAAAAUAGUAAAUUAUGGAAAUUAAGUGUUUAAAGUUUCUUUUUUUUUUUAGAAUAAUGUUCUCCAUAGUAUUAUUUAGGAAAUUUACCAUGCCAAAAAAUAAAAAUUGCCAGUGUAACCUUAUAUGAUAAGAAAUUCUGAUAAAGAUCCAGCACUAUUAGAAUGAGAAUAAUACUAAAAUAUUUGUUGCUGCUGCUUUUUUAUAUUAGAAAUGGAAGCAAAUUUUUAUAUUUGAGAUUUAGAAUUUUAAUUUAGGAUUAAUUUCCUAUAGGUUCUUACAAAUAUAGUAAAUUACAAGUACAUCCCUACAAAAUUCAACUUUUAUAUAUUUUCUCUACAAAAGUCCUUAUGUUUUCAAUAUAUCCCUACCGUUAGGAUCCGUUAGAAAAAAUUAGUUAACCAUAGAUAAAAUAUUUAACUCUAGUUAGUUAAUGAGGUAAAUUGAUCUUUUUACUCCUCUUUAAUUAAUAUUUGGAACUCUUGGAAGGAUAUAUUUGUGAUGACAAAAAGGUAAAUAACAUUUUACGAUAACAAACCAGAGGAACAUAAUUAAAAAUAUUAGAAUUUUUGCAGAAACAAUAUAUGAAAGUUGAACUUUAUAAGAAUAUAUUUAUAAUUUACUAUAUUUGUAGGGACCUGUAUGAAAUUAAUCCUUAUUUAUACUACAAACUCUAGUAAAUUCUUUAAAUUUUGGCUAAAUAACAACAAAAAAGAACCCUGCACUUUCUACCGUGUCUCAAUUACCAUCUCACAAGUUUAAAAGUUUGAACUAGAAAAUCUCAAGAGGACCAAAGUGUCACGUGCUCCAGAGUUUGAGGACCAAAAGUUAAAUUGAGCUAAAAGUGUAUGGGCUUCGUUAAAAUUUAAGUAUUAUCGAGGGGGCUCCCAACAUUUUUACCAUCUUCUCUACAUCUUAAGAUUCUUAACGUGCUCCCUCACAAACGGAUAGAGCGUCGCUGAUCCAAGUGCACAGCGCCAUGGCAAUGGCGCCCAACGCCGCGUCGCUCCUCCUCUCCCUCUCCCCUCAAAACCCUAAUCCCCUCCUCCCCUUCCCCAAAACCCUAAACCCUCGCAACCCCUCCCGCCUCUCCCUCCUCCGCGCCUCCCGCUCCCCUCCACCCUCCUCCUCCGCCGCCGCCGCCGCCGCCCCGGCGGCGGACCCCGACGGCGCCGGGGCCGCCGCGCCGACCCGCGGCGAGAUCUUCCUCGAGCACCACCACUCCGCCGCCGCCGCCGCCAUCGUCCUCAAGGAGAACAAGAAGCAGGAGGGGGCGACGGAGAAGACGACGAGGAAGAAGAAGAAGAAGAAGCCGCAGCAGCUCCCCUCCAACGUCGCCUCCUGCUACGGCUGCGGAGCCCCGCUCCAGACGCGUGAAACGGACGCCCCAGGGUUCGUCGAUCCGGAGACCUACGAAUUGGUAUGAAGCUCGUUUGAGUUGCUCAUUGAUUCUGAAUCGAUCGUAGGAAUUUGAUAAGAGUCAACUUCUUGGUAAUUCGAUUACAUUUCAGGUGAAUAUGGAUUCGUGUAGAUAAAUCCAGGAUUAAGACUAGUUUUUAUUCCUUGGCGAUGCACCGAUUGGAUUUUUAAUUUAUAGUUAUAGAUUGGUUUUGAUCAUUGGAUUUGGUGUGUUGUAAUUGACUAAAAGUAAAAAUGCGGAAUGUAUGGAACUAACUUAGAUUUGGGUCAUUUGAAAAUGACUAUUAACCUCUGAAAAUUUUGAUUUUGUUAUCUAGUCUUUCAGAUCAUUUGAUUUGUCGCUGUGAGAAUUUAUUGCUUGCAUCCCUACAUCUGUGCACGAUGCUUCCACAUAAAUGAAACUCGAUUAGAAAUUCGAGUAGUACUGCAAUGUACCUCCUAACUUUAUCAAGAUUUUUUCAAUUCUCAGAUAUCCGUUUCUACUAUUUGCUGGCGGUUAAAUGUCAAUUGGUUCUGUACUAAGGCAAUUAGUUCCAUAGUAAGUAUAAGAUGUAACAAUGUGCAUUGUUUUGUUCUUGUGGAGUGUAGAAGAAGAGGCACCGCCAAUUGAGGACUGUUCUUUGUGGGAGAUGUCGGCUAUUGUCACAUGGGCACAUGGUAACUGCCGUUGGUGGACAUGGUGGCUAUCCUGGUGGAAAACAAUUUGUUUCAGCAGAAGAGCUACGAGAAAAGCUGUCUCACCUCCGGCAUGAGAAAGUGCUAAUAAUCAAACUGGUAAAUUCAGCAAUGCAUCUUAGGAUAUGUUAAUUCCUCAUAAAGCUUGUGGAAUCUCCUUUUAUGCAAUUGUUAUUCUCUUGUAUUUAUUAGUCUUAGUGCGGCUUGCGCUGUAACUUUCAUAUGAAAUCAGGCAGAAACAUGGUGGUUCUAGAGAUCUAGGAGACUAGGACAAAAAAAAGAGUAAUAUGAAGAUAUUUAAAUAUUCAGUUCUUUUGGUUAAUUUGUAAAUAGUAAUGCGCAGAUGUGUAAGAUGGUGAAAUUUCAUGGGAAUGCUACUAGUAAUGAGUAGAUGUGUAUUUCCGUAGGAUAUUCCUGAUGCUGAUUCUUUUCUGUUUUUCUCUGUUAUUUUCUUCUGUUCUAUCUGUAGGUUGACAUUGUUGACUUCAAUGGCAGUUUUUUGGCACGUAUACGUGAUCUUGCUGGUGCCAACCCUAUUAUACUGGUAGUCACGAAGGUGGUUAUCCUUGUAAUGGUUUUGUACUCAAUAGCAUCCCCUGUUAUUAGACAAUUAAACCAACACAUUUUCAGGUUGAUCUCCUUCCAAGAGAUACUGAUUUAAAUUGUGUUGGUGACUGGAUUGUUGAGGCCAUCAUCAAGAAGAAGCUUAAGUAAGUGUCUGCUUUUUUCAUUUGUCCUUAAUCCAAAUCCAAAUGGCAGUAUAUUGUCAUCUUCCUCAUUAUGACUUAAAUAAUAUUAGGGCCAUUUGUUUUUCUCAUAUUGUAAUUUAAUCAUUUUCAUAUGUCGUUUUAACUCCUUAAUUGCUUGUUUCAGUUUUAUGUCAUUGCUGUAACUUUUCUAAUAUACAUCAAAUAGCGGAGUGAACUUAUUGCUCCUCUUUCAUUUUAAAAAAUAUAUAAUAUAAUUGAACUUUAAGGCCUUGUUUGAUAUUGUUUCCUUUUUCUUGGUUUUACAAAUGAUAUUGUUAUGUUUUGGAUAUGUUGGCAGAUGGACUUAUUUAUUUUUGUCAUUGUUGGCUAGCUUGUAAAGCAACCAACUCAGAUGCCAAAAGACAUCUUCAAAGGAAAAAAAACAAAAAAAUUACUAUGAAGUAGUUGUUUUUUGUUGCCAAACGAACUCUGUAGAUGGAUGUAUGACAAGCAUUGCCUUAUCCAUCUAUUCAGUCUAUCAUAUAGAAUUUGUGUUAAAAAGAAAACAAAAAGAAGCAAAAACUGUUUAGACUACUUCUGGUUUCCAAUAGAUCGAUCUUUUGGGUAACAUGGUAUUAGAGAUGGCCCUAAUUUUUUUCAGUUCCGAAAGUUCUGAAUUUAAAUCCUCAUAUCUGCCAUUUAGUGGCACAUAUUCUUGUUUUCUGUUUUCUCCUUACCUCUUUGUCUGUGCACACAGCAUGAUUCACGUGAUUUCCACCAUGUACAUGAACAGGUGAGUCAAGAGUAUUCCUAGGUCAUUUCCCAUUUGAUCAAUCUUUUUAGUGACAAACAAUCCAAACAGCAAAAACCAUGAAUUACACCAAAGGUCCAACUCAGGCCAACCCACUACUUACAUCGAAAGAAACGUCCUCUUUGCUUGAGAAUAAUCACCAUGCAGGAAAUAGGGCUGUUGGUUUAUUAAUAGAUUGUUGGGUUUUCAGCACCAUUCUUGGUUUUUUCUUUUUUUCCUCUCCCUAAUGCAGUUUAUUUUGGUGAAAAACAAUCAAAAGUUUAUAUAAAACUAUGCCUUAUAAUUGCAGUGUCCUUAGUGUCCAUUUGACAAGCUCAAAAUCCUUGGUUGGCAUUGCUGGAGUCAUAGCAGAGAUUCAAAAGGAGAAAAAGGUUUACCUUUUUUAUAUACAUCAAUAUUUAAAUUUCAUUACUUGGUUGUAUCCUUUUGGUAUGCUUAAAUUUAGUUCUACAGCUCAAAUUUAACAAGUUUUUUGAAUUACUUUACUGAUUUUACUUUUACUUUGCAAUUAAUAUCAACCAUUUCUUGAUAUAAUGGCAUACUCUGCUAGAUAUAUCCUAGGAGCAUUCUUAUGUUCAACUUGUUGGUAGAUAUUUUUGGAUGAUAAAUCAUAGGCAUGUAAUUUGCUUCUUUUUCAAGUGGGCUAUCAGGCCUCUUUGGUACAGGAAAGUCGAUAGCAUACUGAACUUCCAGAAAUGCUAGAAAUGAGCAUUCCCUAAUAUUUUGUGAUAUUUGUUGGAUAGGACAAACUUUUGCAUUUGAAAUUCGUUAUUAUGUCUUUCUUAUGUGGUAAUUCCAACGUCUAUAUUGAGCUGUGGAGAUUGGCAAUAUACGUUUCAUUAUGCAGUUUUAUUAGCAAUGCAUUUUGGUACUUUGUUUAAGUCUACAAUUUCUAAAAGAAGUUUGCUUGAGAGUUGCACUCCUUGCAAUUUAUGUUGUUUCUGCGAUCUUAAGAAAACGUAGUGUUGAAUCUUCUGGUAUGUGUUACUUCUUUCCUUCACCUCUUUUUUCUUGACAUAAUCGUUUACACGUUUAGAUGAUAGCUGAUUUUUCAUUAACUUGCAUGUAACCCGUAGUUUAUUUUUACGAAAGUAACAACUAAUUAGAAUUGUUCUUUUACUUCUCAUGCAGGGCCGAGAUGUCUACAUCCUGGUAAGCAUCUCUGGUACACAGAAUAUUAAGAAAUUUUCUUUUGAUGCUAUAUCAGCAACGUUUCAGCGAAUUUCUGCUAUGCAGUUGUUUUUUUCUUGUUGCUGCCUUCUGGAAAUCGUUGAUGCCAUAUUGCCUGACAUGUUUAACCAUUGUAGCUAUACAUGGAUAAGUUUUCUAAGAAGUCUAACCAUUACCUCAGUUUCGGUUGGACCUUAACCUUUCAAUUCUCCUUUAAUUGGAUCCCUACCUUGAGCCCUGUUACAGUCUGGUUCCUUUGAAUAAAUGGUUAAUGAUAAUGCCUCAGUUUGCCAUUUAAUCAUCUUUUGGACUCUAAUUGUCUGAUAGGGUUGAUAUAUCACUUGAAUGGCAAUUAUGUGGGCAAUUACUGUCCAUUUUUAACGGAGUUAUGGGAGGAGUCUAAUGGAAGAACUAAAAUAGCUAGAGAUUUGGGAGAACUGUGAAAAGGGUUUUUUUUUCACUCGCCAAAAUACACAAUUUUGCAUAUACAACCAUCAAAAGUGACAAUUUUUCUCCCACCCCUGAGUACAUGUUGCCUAUAUUUGCAUGUAUACCUUUUGAAAGUCGCAGUUGCACCCAUACUAGUAGAAAACUAGGAAUAACCUGUAUAUUCAUGGAUGCCGUCCACUUGAGAGCUCUUCAUGUUUUUCUGUUUCAUUUUUGUAGCUUGCUUCCUUUCUUGUCUCUUUCUAUUUUAAACUCUAGUUGUUCUACUAUAUCUUUUUUAUCGGAAACAAACCAAAGUGCCAACGUGUGCAGAAAAGUGAAAUGCUUCUGCUUUCUCCUCCAUUCUGUUGCCUAUUCAAGUUAGUAAGCUAUUUAGAAACCUUCUGUUGUGCAUAUGAUUUCAGUUGCAGGAAGCAGAAGAAAACUGCUGCUCAAAUACUUCUUGGCAACAAAUUUUUUCUUCGCAGGGUCUAUACAUCCUAGAAUUGUUUGAAGCCUACCUCUUCUCCAUUAUCCUAAUUCAUCUGCUCUAUUGUGAUGGCCUGUACAUAAGCUUUUAAGUGAUUCCCUCCUACAUGGUCAUAUAUGACUAUUAGAAAUUUGAACCGGCAAUUAAGAUUGAAAUGAUAUGCAAGAAGAUGAUCGUCUGUAACCUCGGAGUAAAACAAUUGGGUUAAUUGAAGCAGAAACAAGUUGUAAGAAUCAUCUGGUGCUUUUUAAUUUUAUUAGGGAAAAUGAAGUCUCAAAGUUACUCAGUUUCUUUGUUACUCUUAAUGCUGAAUAUUUGGUUACAUGAACUGAAUUAAUGUGAUCGGUUUCUGUUUGUUAUAUAGUUCAUAGUCAACAUUUUUAUCUAUGUACUUUGGCCUUUUUAUUCUUAUAUCGUUUCCAUCAUCAAUUCAGGGGUCAGCAAAUGUUGGAAAAUCUGCAUUCAUCAAUGCUUUACUCAGUAUGUUGCGUCACAUUCUCCUGUGCAUUAUUUUAUAAUUUUUUUUGAGUAUAUUUGUACUGCCUUUUAUUAUUAUCAAACAUUUGCAAGUAAUAGGUUGAUGAUCUAUUAAGACUCUGAGUACUUCGCAAUAAGAUGUUUAUUCGAAAACUUAGAAGAUCUACUUAAGCAUCUCCAAAAAUCGAUAGGAGAAUACAAUAGCGUAAACCGGAUCAAUGGAUUUAAUUCUUCUAUACUAGCAUUAUGUUUACAUCACAAUUAGUUGAACUUUUGUUUUAUGUCACCAACCCCAGAAAAUAGGAACUUGCUUGUCAUGGGAAAUUUUUGAGUUUUAAGACAUUUGAUCAGAAAACUAUGGGUAGAGGUCAUCUUAAGAAGAUACCUGUGUGAACAAGUGGAUAGAUGGAGUUGCAUAGGGAGAUUGAUAACCAUUAUCAAACUUCUCAUUGACAUGCAAACUCUGAUUCUCACCUAAUAGAUGUGCUAUUUUAAAUAGCCUUACUUAAACAGCAAUUCUGCUGAAGCUCCAGCGAGACCAACAGCUCCUAAACUUAUUGAUUGAAUUUACCUAGACUUAUCCUAGGAGUUAGAGCAAAUAGAAUUUUCCAAAUCGUAUUGAUUGCAAUUUUUUAGUUUAUGCAAUAGUGUAUAAUUCAUUAUGCUGAAUAUUUUGCAUUGUAGGGAUGAUGGCUGAAAAGGAUCCAGUGGCUGCUGCAGCUCAAAAAUAUAAGCCAAUGCAAUCAGCUGUUCCUGGAACGACACUAGGACCUAUUCAAAUUGAGGCAUUUCAAGGAGGGGGGGUAAGUUGUAAAACUUGUCUAGUUGCUUUUGAUGCUUUUUUUUUAUAUGGAUAUUAUUUGGAGUUAUUUCUAGAAACAAGAUACCUAGUCAUGCUUGAAAUACUAUGACUAGGCUUUUGCUCCUUAUAAUUUUAUAUCUUGUUUUUUUUUUUUCGAGUUAGGAGGAUCAAAAUUCAAGGAUUUAAGUGCCUGUCGGGAUGGGCUGUGCGGCCUGUGCCCAUCAUGUCGCAAUGUGCCAGCAAGGUAUCGGCACAAUACGAACCUCGUUCUAAAGGCACGGCCCAAAACCCUCUUUUUACAAAAUUAACUGUAUAUUUACAAAAUGCAAAGAUUUGAUAAAUAAUACAUAAAGACGAAUUAGAAUAUAUUGGUGCCAAAAAAUGUACUUUUUUCAUGCUACAAUGUGACGACACAUAGGUAUUGUGUCAACAACACAACAGCUCGGUACGACACGACAUGCCACAGGACUUAAAUCCUUGGACAAAAUUUUUCUAUUGUGAUGCUUUGCAGUGCAAAUGACCAUAUUGUCUAUGGAUAUCUUGCUUGAUGUUUUCUGCAUGUUCAUUUAUUGUGCAUAUGUAUUUUCUUUCCAUGAAUUCUGUUUACUGAUGGCACAUGAAUGGACGAUUAUCUGAGUCAAAAACCAUGGGAGAAUGCAAUUCCAAGAAAACUCAAGCACAAUUGCAUUUGAAACAGGAGUUCAGGAUCAAUUUAUUGGCUAGCCCUUGGGAUAUUGCACUUGAAAAUAUUUGAAUAUUAGAGUUAACUUGGCCAUGAUUGCUUCUUUUUUCCCGCUCUAUUUUUUUUCUCACUUUUAGAGAAUAGCUGCAAUCUGUUCUACUUCUUAUGUCAAGCUGAUAGCAAUGAAAGAGAGAGACUGAUAAGCUGGCCACAACUGUAGAAAUCUGAUGUUUCAAUGUAUUUCCUCUGAGCUCCAAAUUCUGAGGGUUCUAAGUUCAUCACAAAAGUAGGUUCACUCCUAGAUUGUCUUAGUACGUUAGUUCAGUUAUAUGGUAGAUUGGUAGUGUCUUCAUCAUAUGUUAGAUUAAAUAUUUCCCUUGGAGUAAUUUUUCGUUGUAUAUUAAGAUUGAUAACCUUAAAGUGGCAGAAGAUGAUUGAUGAAGCUAUGGAAAUGAACGAACUGAUUAUUUCAUUUAGUUUAUCUCAUAUCUCAUAUGUUGAAGCAGAUAUGCUAUGGUGCCUCAUAUUUUUGGUUUUCUCUGUUCAUCUUUCAUAUUCUUUUUCAUAUUAAUACAAUUUCUUACCCUAUUUUGUAAUUGGGAAAGUAAAAUUUUGUCAUAACAUGAGCAGAAAUUAUAUGACACACCUGGAGUGCAUCUUCAUCAUAGGCAAGCAGCAGUUGUUCAUUCUGAUGAUCUGCCGUCUCUUGCACCUCAGAGUAGAUUGAGGGGCCAACCUUUCCCUGUAUGUUAAUUUUUAAUCAUAAAACUAAUUCAAUUUUUCCCUUGUACGGUUAAGCUAAUUUUCUUUUCCAGAUUAUGUUGUUAUAUGCAGGCUUCGCUAGUUAAAGCGCCAAAGGAUGAUGCAAAUGCUGUUGGAUUGAAUGGUUUUUCAUUAUUCUGGGGUGGGCUCGUUCGCAUUGAUGUCAUUAAGGUUUUUUCAUCACUCGCUUGACUUGGAGGUUUUUAUAUUUUGUUUCUAUAAAUUUCACAAUUUGAAGUCAUUGGUGCUAAUUAAUCGGCUAUGCAGGUUCUUCCACAAACACGGCUAACUUUCUAUGGACCCAAAAGAUUACAAAUUAAUAUGGUGCCAACCAUUGAAGCAGAUGAGUUUUACCAGGUACUGUCCGUUAAAAGUAGAAGCAUUUGCUUCUUUUUGGCUGCUUUAUUAAUCUUUUUGUUUUCAGGAUAUUGCAAUUUUUUUUCCUUCAAUUUUUUUAAUAUGAUAAUAAGUGCUGUUGCUUUUCCUAUAUAUUGCUGUGCAUGCUCCUUGUUGUCAGAUAGUUCUAUAAUGAAAUCACCUAAUAUGAAAGCAUUUCUUUUCCUCUUCUCAACCCUUUUCAACAUUAUUUCUAAUGAGGAAAAUCGUUUAGUUUGUUAUUGGUACGCUAGCCACUGCAGUUUUCAACUGUUCAUGGUAUAGACUGUUGCUUUAGGGUGUGGAUGGUAAGCUGUUGGUUAUUAGAAGAAGCUAGAGAAAGAAGAUGCUGAUUUAAUUAUAUGUUUCAAUGAUCCGGUAGGGCUGUACUCAAUUUGCUCACUUUGCAGAAUACCCCUAGCUGUUUAGGUAGCCAAGUACAUAUUUGUAUUUGUGGUAACCAGUUCCAUGGCAUCAUGAAAUUUCAUAUUAAUGGUUCAUUGUUUAGGUAAAAAGUAGAUAAUUUUGGACUACCAACUCAUCUAGUGAGAAUUGGAUCUUUCACAACUUUUGUGUCAAUAUUGCAUUGGACUUCUUUUGAUGGCUAGCCUAGGAAUUUCAGCCACAAACUUGCGAAGGGGAGAAUAAUCUAAUAUUAUAUAGAUCUCUAGUUGUUGCUACUUUAGAGGAAUUCUAGUUUUCUCAUUUCUGAAGCAGUUAAACUGCAGUGAAGAAAGAAGAGACUGACUACAGUAUAUUAAGUUUGCUGCAGACAACACUGCUGGAGCCGGAAAUUUCUGGCAGGAAAAUUGAAGGGAAUAAUGAGGAAAAAUAAAGGGGCGUUUGAUGAAAUUAGAGAGAAGGAUGAUAAGUGACUUGCGGCAAAAAGGAGAACAUAUUAUUUUUCUCCAUAUUCUUCUUCAAAAAGAAUAAGACCUAGUUUCGACUCUCAACAUUGUGUAUGUAGUAAACAUGACUAAGGAAACUUUUAAACCAUUUGAACUCAAUAUUAAGUAAUCGUAUAAUACUGUUUAGACUCAAUUGAAUAUGGACUCCCCUCCUUGCAUGGCACUAUCUGUAUGAUAUGUUUCAUUUCAAUUUCAACAUUACUAUCUCACUGGUGAACAUUUUCCAGAAAGAACUUGGAGUUACAUUGACACCUCCAAGUGGAAAAGACAAAGCUGAAGCCUGGCCAGGUCUCCAAAAUGUGCGCGACUUGGAGAUAAAAUUUGAAGACAAGAAGAGGUAUUUUGUAUAUUACUUCAAGAAAGAAAUCAUGUUCUUUCUAUUGAUGUUAGCAGUUCUAUUGGAACAUAUCAUCAUGGUUGGUGUCUCUGAUUAUAAAUAACAUGACAUUUGUUCUCAAAUUCCUAAAAAUCAUAUGCCAAUAACUUGUCGAAGCUGCAAGAAAUAAAAUAAAGAGCUUUGUACAUGGCUUACCAUGAGUUAAAACAAUGAAGUCAAUAAACAUAAACUGGGUGCUUCAAAUUUAACGGACUACAAGUCAUAUAACAUUGUAACCUCAGCUUUGUGAUUGGAGCUCGUAUUUGCAAUCCCGACUUAGUGUUCAAGUGGCCUUGCGACCUUGUUAUCUUUAUUCUGAAAUAGUGUACUAUAUUGAAUUUUAUGCGUCAUUCCGAUCUGUCUUGUUCUCAUAAAGAGUUCCUGUUAGCUGAGAUUCGAUGAAUAAUUCCUGUUAAUUGUCGAGGCAGUGACUGGGCAAUUACGAUUCUAACGGGUUAAGCCUUUUCAUCUUCUUUUUUUUUUUGUCGUGUACAGGCCUGCUUGCGAUAUUGCAGUCUCUGGUCUCGGGUGGAUCGCUGUGGACCCAUUCUGUGCACCGCCAGUCGAGAACGCCGAAACAUAUAAUUCCGAAGGAGAAGAACAUGGUGAACUCCGUUUAGCAGUUCAUGUGCUGAAGCCAGUGGAGGUCUUCGUCCGGCCUCCCUUGCCCGUAGGUAAGGCUGCUUCGGAGUGGUAUCAGUAUCAGGACUUGUCAGAGAAGGAAGAAGAGUUGAGACCUAAAUGGUACUACUGAUUUUUUUUCUUUUUUCUGACUAAAAUACAGAAAGCCUCCUCGAACUUCUAAUAUCACAUAUCACUCCCUUGUUUUCAAGCUAUUAUUAUCACCUUUCCCCCUUCCAUCAACUCUCUAUCGGAUUAUCGUUUAAAUUUGAAGUAAAAUAUCCGGAAACAAUAUGAUAAUGUUGAAACUGACCCUUUUGGGAGGGGAUUGUGAAAUACGAAUUGUAGUUUCGACGUUUCAGUUCAGGGGUCCAAAAUGAUAAAUCUUGUUGAAGUUCAGGGGACUUUUUCUGCUUUUGUAGCUACAUUUGUUAUUUUGUUAUGUAAGUGCUGUUGUAUUCUAAUUUGUUUUGCCGAUGUAGUUAGUUGCUUUUGGAUCCUGUUUCUGGGUCUCUUAUAAGCAAGUUAUAUUGUAUUCUCCCCCUGUAUCUGGGCUUCCCUUUUUUUCUUUGAUUUUGAAAUGAGAUCUUAAUUAUCUGAGGAAAAUGCCAACAAAAUACAAUCCCAAAGCAGUAGGGAGGAAACAAAGUUAUGCAGGUAUACAAACGCAACCCUCUUUAAUAUUCUGUUACUAAAUUGCAGGUUAAUUGGAAAGAAAAUAGAAAAAAAAAAAAGAAGAAAAAAAAAUCAUAUGAUUUGGAAAUACAACUUAGGGGCUAUGUGAUAUUGAGGGAAGCCUGGUGCUAAUGGACAAAAUAGAGUUGGGACGAAAGCAUAUAAAAAUAUAAUUUUCUAUUUUUUUGGCGGAACAAAAAAAAAAUUAUAUCCUACCAAACUCAUCGUAAUAUAAAUAACUGUGAUAUUACUACAAAAACAAACAAAAUGUUUCCUAUCAUACUUACACAUCACACACAAAGCAAUCACAUUACAAUACCAAGCAGAGCCCAGAAUGAUAUUUUCGAUCAGAAUGGUAAAAGUGAACCAAUUUAGAUGCAUCUCAUCCAAACUGGAGCAAACAAUCAAAGAUAAGAGCAUAAUAUAGCCCUCCAUUAUAAUUAACUACAUGUUUCAUAAAAAAAAAAGGCAAGUGCAGGAAUUUCUACACUGCACCACAGAUAUGGUGGGAGUAAGCCGAGCGCGAUGAAAUUGGAAACGUAAGGUAAACAAGUAUCUCAGAUGCAUCAAUUCAUUUGGUUAUCAUUUAUUUAAGCUUUCUUUCCCAGAAGCACAGGGACUGUAGCUUAUAAAAUACAAGAAGAAAAAUUAUGUGUGUACGCGAUCUAUCAAGAAUGAAUUGUUGUUCAUUUGCUUGUUUCACAACAAAACCUUUUUCCUCGAGAUGAUUCUCCAUUCAUCCAAAAAAAAUACUAUGGAUGAUUAUAAUGGGAUCCCAAUGAAAUCAGACAGGAAUUCCGUAAUUAAUAAUCUUCGUGAGGGCACCGUUGAGAGCUGCUUUCUCUUUCUUGACCUGAGAAACCAGCUCAGAAGCCUGCAAGAAAUUUGCCAUCAUGUUAGUUAUAUGAUGCAGAUUUAAGGGAAAAUAUGUUUGCUUCUCUCGUCAAAUUGAAAAGAAAACAUCUGUAAUUUCAUCUGACAAGGCUGGAAUAAAAGAAACUGAUGGCCAAAAGCCCCAUUUGAAAUAUUGCGUAUGGAUAACUGAAUAGUUUCUCCCAAGAAAACUGACAAUAAUGACCCAGGCUGAAGGGUGUCGACAUCGAUAAUUGAGUUUAGUAGGAAACCUAGGAACUGGAAUGUUUCGAUCAGCAGAUGGAUCCACAUCGCAUGAGCAUAAACUAACGAAUGUACUUGGUUCGUUCGGUUCCGUACUUCAAAUAAACGAUAUCCAAAUUCAACAUUUGUAUUCCACUAUGCCAGCAUCCUUUUCCUGGAACUAGACAAUUCCAUUAACCAACAAUCUUGAAAACACACUCUAUUACAAGCAUGUAACCCCAUGUUCAUCUCAUUCCCGUUUCUCCAAUGGCACUUAAAUCCCUACUCACACCUUGUUCAUUUGCGCCCCCUUGUGGCCAAAUGGUUGUUAAAUUUUCAAAAAAUUUAAUGCAACUAUGCAUGAAUAUCUAUAUACUAUUGUCAUAUCCCGGAGAUUACAAUGAUGUAAAGAGACUUAAAAAAGCUAUCAGAAUUUGAAAACUCACAACAUAAGAGAUGUCAAGAGACGUAAUCUAAAUUUAUAUUGUAACAUGAACUCAGAUAAAUGUAAAGCAUCAAGAAAUGGAAUCUAAACGUAAAAAUAAUAAGGAAAACAAAUAAUACCAAUAAUAAUAAUAAUGGAAGUGUCUUAAAAAACACUAACCCGUGCUCGAAGUGGAGAUGCUUGUGUUCUUGGGAGUUCAUUAAGAGCAACCUUCAGGCCUGAUAUAAAUAAAAUUUUGUUAUAGUUAAGACUUUUGUAAAGAAAGUCCACCAGCAUUAGGUUAAUAUUGGCCGUCUUGCGGAAUCAGUUCAACUUCUUUUAUAUAUUUUCCAUUUUUUGAAGCUUUGAGCCUGAAAUAUCUUUUCGUGAACCAAAAUGCCCAUGACAUGAUCUUUAGCACAUAAAUUCAUCGCAAUAUCCAUUAUGGGCACUUCAUCCAUGUAGAGAGUUCAAGCCAAAGUUGUAACAGGAAAACAGGACCGGAAUUGCAAUAAUCCCUAGUCUCAACUAGAUGAUGUCAACAUAUGGAUUCUUACUUACCCAUUGCUUGUUUUUCAAUAUUUCUUACAUAACGCAAUUCCCUUUCGAUAGCACGACCUUCCAUCCUGCAGUUAUCAUGAAGCAGUCAAAGACAAGGCAAAGUAGAAAAUUACGGAUUAAAAAGAAAAAAAAAAAAAACUUAAAGUGAGAGAUGACAAACAUAAGAUCCGUUCGUCCUUUUUGAAAUUCCUUCUCUGCAUUUGAUGCCCUCUCCUGAAAUUUUAGGUGAAGAACAUUAGUCAAGACCAAUCCCAUUGUGUUACUUCUUCCGGUAAAGAAAAAGAAAAGGCAAAAAAGAGACGCUGGGUAACUGUCUAUGAUGAUGUAAUUUUGCUUUGUUCGUUGUAAGUACUUCCAGGAUAGCUCAAAGCUGUUAGCACAUUUAAUGUGUUUGUGUUAUUAAACACAUGAGAGAUACUAAUUCAGAGCAAAGAAUUCCCGCUACAAAUCUAUCACAAGAAUAGAGGCACCCCAUAAAAGGUUUAUAAAAGUAUUAAGCAUAGCAACUCUUGCUUGGAUUCACGUCGCAGCUACUAUAGCAGGUUCCAAGACUUGGUGAAAGGGAUCAAAGCCUCAAAUUAUAUAGAUUAGUUGAUGUUCUGUAUUCACCUAAUCAGUUCGAACUCUUAUGAUUAUGUAUCAGGUGCAAUAGUCAGAAUGAACAACAUGACUUUAAUUAAUGAAUCAUCACAGUGAUACUUUUUACCCCCUGGACUUCAGGGCAAGGCAACAAAUAAGGGUGUCACAUCAAAACUAUGAAAAAAUAAGGCUUGUGCCCCAAUAAGAGGUUUGAUCUGUGAGAACCAGGCAUAAAUGAAUGAAUCAAAACCUUAUGCACUAGGAUGCAUUAUUAAUUAAGGAAAAGCCAAUAACAAUGAUAAGAUCUUCUGAAAGCAACAAAGAAGUGAAACUGUAAUAUACUGACUAGGCAUGAAUGAAGAGAAUUACCAUCAACUUUAUUCUUUCAUUAGUCACAAGAUUGACAGACUGUCGCAACCCAUUCACCUUGGUUUUAGCACUAGAGAGCAGGACCUACAAAUAAAAAUAAGGUAAAAAACUCACAUCUGACUUUCGUAUAAAUCUGAGCUCUGAUAUAUCUCUGAUAUAUGACGCAUAAAACAAUCAUAGCGCAUUUAUAGAACAAGACAACUCAUUUGGUGAGGCGAAAUGAUUGAAUCCGCGAGAUCUUUGUUGAUUGGCUAGCAUACAUGUAAACAGCAAGAAGUCUCAUCUAGUGAAGAGCACAGUUGAGUGACUUUGCAAGACGUUGGCUAAUUCGCCAGCACUGCCAUUGCCAUAUACUAGUAUACAGUAUAUCCAUACAUUGCAUAAUCUGAACUCGCCAAAUAAAAUUAAGAGCUCCCAAAGAAGCUGUAAUGUGAAUGCAAAUUUGCUUUGUAAAGUUGAGAAUUUCCUAGAUUGAAAAAUUAUUGCUCCAAACUAACCUGAUAAGAUCAAAGUGAAGUUUCUUUCUCAAUCAAUUCAGCAUGGGUCUGAAAAAACAGUAAGAAUUGGGACGACAUGGAAAUUUUUUUUUUUUCCCUAUUUUGCAACUUAUUGUAGAAACUACAAAGUUCUACUCUUCAGCAUUAACCUACCACUUUCAAGCAUUGCAAUUAACAUUCCUAUGUUUUCCUAAAGUGCUCUCCAACAGGAGUUGGAUUAUUUGAACUUCUGCUAGGUUCAGUUGGACUGCUUUGGAUCUAAUAAGUUGAUUUGUAAGUUGUUUGUUCAUUUGGAUGACGAAAAAGGAUUUUUAAUCUUCACACGAUCUUUUGUUGAUUUCCAAUUUUUCCUAUGUUCAAACCAUUAAUUUGAUUUAAUUUGCGCAAAAUUUAAAGCUUCAAAUUUGUUUCGGCCUCAUAUGUUUGUCAUUUUGCAUUGCAUUCUUCUGGUUUGGGUUUAAACAAAGUGAUUAUUCACAGCAUAACUCCUGAUACCCAGCCAUAUUGGUUUCACAGCAGGCAAGCAGCCAGUAGCAACCAUCACAAGAAGAAAAUAUUUUAACAGUACAACAUAAACCUUCAAUUCGCUAUAUUUAUGCUCUUUUUUUUCUUUUCUUUUAACUUAUCAUUUGUUAUGUAAUCCGCAGUAUAUUACGAAAAUAAUCAACUUCCAAUCUAAUUAUCUUUGCAGUUUAAAAUGUCCAAUAAAAUUCGAUGAAAGGAAGUUCAUCAAAUCACGCUAAUGAAUAUUCAUGUACGGUAAUAAUUUAUAACUACAUUAAGAAACAUAAAAAAGUGAAACGAAAAACAAUGUAAUUACCAACAAAUAUGAAGAGCAAAGUAGAAACUGGUAGUGCCCACCUCUUCACUCACAAAGAGCCGCCUUGCAUUUUGAAUAAGAAAGUUCCUUGGUCCUGCAAAUUGAAAGAACAAAGGAUGUGAGUAACAAACAUUUGCAUCAAUGUUAGUCAGAACUCAGAAGAAUCAAUUACAAUCAACAAAGUUAAAGCCUGGUGGCUAAUCUGGUAAACUUUAGGAUUGCCAAGUAUUAAUAGCUUCUUAUAUUGUUCUAAUAGAAAGAAACAUUCAGCCUAGUCACUCAAAAAAAAAAAAAAAAAAAAAAAAAAAAAGAAAAGAAAAGAAAAAAGGCAUAAAACCAUGGAGUAAACAUGUGAAGAUAUUCAGAAAUAAAUUGACAGUGAUAGUCAAAAGUCGGUUUGCUCCCGUAAAGUAACAGAGCAAGUCAAGAUCAAACGCCUUAACCUCCAGUGGAAUAUUAAACAAUGCUACUGAAAAGAUUAAAGGAAAUUUAAAAUAAUAUGAGACAACAAUAUAAUUAAAACAUAAUAUACACAAGAAAAGACAGAUUUCCUUUUUUUGAUUUACUUAAUUAAAAUAUGAAAUUACCACUAGUCUCCAGUUAACCUUUAAUAGAUAGAGUCUAUUAAAGAUUAAGUUAAAAAAAACAGUAAGCAUGGCAUUUCUAUAUCAAACAUCAGAAGAGCUACACAUAGAGGUCGAAGAAGAGUACGUACCAAAUUUUCUUUUAUGAAUAAGCUUAUAAAAUAUUAUAAUUAUAAAAAUACUUCUUCAAAAAAAUUAUGUACAAACUUGGGUCUAAGCCGUGAAUGAAUCAUCGCUUUCUAAAUGCGGCAACUCGUUCACCGCUUAAUUCAAAAUAAUAAAAUUAUUUGUGAUGCUCAUAAAAACAGUAAACUAUUUACUGUUUUAUACACCUUGCGAAGUUUGGACUUAGGAAAAAAUAUAAUUUACGUAAAUGCGGUGAAUGAUUUACCGCUUUUAGAAUGUGACGAUUCACCGCAUUCUAAAGCGGUGAAUUAUUCACCACUUCGGCCUAAUUUUACAAAUAAAAAUUUUGGAUGCCUAUAGUUACAAUUAACAAUUUUUAUAAGCUUACUUGCCAAAAACUCUCGGCCUGUCUAAGCUUGUCUAAUGCAAAUGUCGGCUGCAGUGCCAUCCAUAGGUGCACCGUGCACCAUAAAAUUGCUACUGGAAGUGACAAAUAGGCAACGUUAUCCACUAUACCUAAAUUGAAAAUUCCGACCACUCCAACCUGGCCGAAAUUUAUCCGCAUUAAAUCAGACUGGCCCAGAACCCUAGGACAGGUUCAGGUUUGUAAAACCAUAGACCUUAAAAAAGUCUAUGCAAGGUCCAGGUUAUUUAUUUAGUUGACCCAGCCUAGGGGGUAGUGGCGCUAGACGAAAUUUUGAUUCGACCCAGAUGUGGUCAUUUUGGAACAUGCUCAGGCCUAAAAUAGCUAUAUAAAUGGCAAUCUAAUCCGGUAGUAGUCAAAGUCAAUCAAAUUUAACCUGCUCCGGAAUUUGGCCUGAUUAGGAUCAACCCAGAUUGGGACUUUGCCAACGUCUUGUAACUUUGACAUGAGGGUUUGAUAAUAAAAUCUAGAAUACUCACAAAUCCAAAUUAUUCAUAGAGAUAACUACAACAAUUCAAGUUCAGUACGAGCUCUAGGUGGAAAGCUGCCAUAAUCGAGUGAAAAUAAAUGUUGCGUUAAUCUUCAGUUCUCCAUUAACAUUCCAAUAUCAACGUUAAAAUUCCUACUUAAGGCAAAUUUGUAGCAACCUUCAUUUAGCUUCCUCGGCACAAAAGAAAAUUUUGAAAAAAUAAAUCCAGGUGUCAAAUUAGUUGUUCAAUCACAAGAAAUAAAAGGACUCUACUUUCCCAACCAAACAUUAUAACAAACAUGAUACAUCCAAAGAAAUACACAUUACAAAAUCAAUACAAACUCAAAACAGGAAUAUAUAUAAAGGACAUACUUCUGAAGAAGAUGAGCCCCAAUCCAGCAGCUAUCCCAGAAGAGAGGCCCGGAUUUGACGCCGCAAGGAGGACACCCUCUGCAAGCAAUGAAAGUGCCAUUAUUUUAGAAAUAGCACCUAAUAAUCAUAACAAAUGCUAAACAAGAUGAAUUACAUGAUUAAGACUUAUACACGGUAGAUAUAUAUACGGAAAUCCUCUCAACUAAUAUUCUUUUGAUUGAGAACCCCUCAACUUUUGAUCCGUUCAAUUUACACCAUUUGUAUAGAUCAAAUUUGAAAAUUUUUUGUCAGAUUUAACUAUUUUGAAUACUUAUCAGUGAUAAAACAGCAGAUUUUGUUGACUGAUAAUGAAUGAUAUAUUAUUAGUGUUAAUAAAAUUUUAACAAAUCCCCAAUACAAUUUGGGAGAAUAACUCAAAUUAAACAGUUUAAAUGAUAAGAAUGGGGCAUCAAAUCAAAAGGACAAUAGUCUAUGUCAAAAUGCCCUAUAAUUGUGAUGUUCCUUAUACAUUUUUUUUAAUCCUAAAUAAAAAAAAACUGUACCUUUGAUCUUCGCAAAAGCCAUUUCUUCAUGAAACUCAUACAUGGCCUUAACGGACUCCAUGAUCUCCUGCGAACCCUACCAAAGAUCAAAAAGACACGAAGAGGACCGGAAUCGUGAGUCGCUAAUGGUGGACUACGUACCUUGGACUCUUCGACGUAGUGGGCAGAGAACGACGCGGCGGUGGAGGCGGCGGUGGCGGCGGCCCCCACGGCGGAGCCCACGGCGGCGUCUAGGGUUUCCUUGAGAUCGAGGGCGCGCGCGGCGGCGCGCUCGAUCCACGGGCUCACGUCGGCGGCGAUCGCCGCCGGGGAGAGANGUGGGCAGAGAACGACGCGGCGGUGGAGGCGGCGGUGGCGGCGGCCCCCACGGCGGAGCCCACGGCGGCGUCUAGGGUUUCCUUGAGAUCGAGGGACGACGCGGCGGCGCGCGAGAUCCGAGGGAGCAAGGCGAAGCUCAACUUCCCCAUCUCCGGCGACGGCGAUCGGAGGAGAGAGGCGGCGCCGCCGCCGCCGGGGGCGGAGAGUGGGAGGCGUCGCCGGAGCCGGCGAGAUCGGUGACCAUGUCGAGACGAUGAGGGCGGAGUGGAGGAGAGAUGUGGGGAGAAAAAAAAGGAAAAAGGUAAUAGUGGGAGAACGUAUGAAGAGAAAUUGGGAGUAAAGUGUUUUUUUUUUUUUUUCCAAAAAAAUAUUAGGCUAAUUUGUAUAAAAAAUUUACUAGUUUUAUAAUUUUGCAAAAAUUGACUAUUAUUUUAAAUUUUACAUAUUUAAACUAAAUUUUCAAAAAUCUGAUCAAAUACUCUUAUUCUCUUUUUUCUCUGUUUUUUUAUUUUUUAUUUUUUUAUUUCCGACCCUCCUCCACCACCUCCAUAGCUCUCAGCGACGGUAAUAAGAGUCACACUGCCUCCUCUUUCUCCACCCUGGCAGAGGCGAUGACGGCUCUCUGUUUUUUUUCUCCGGCUCCGACGUCGGUGCCGACGGAGGCGGAGGAAGAGCCACCCUUGUUCUUUCUUCGAGGGCCGCGAAGUUAGUGUUUUUAAAAAAUUCAAUCGCAAAACUAGUAGAUUUUUUUUGCAAAAUUGCUAAAAAAUUAUUAUUACAAAUGGCUCUUGAAAAAAUAUUGUUAUUACAAAUGACCCUCUUCUUGUUUUGGUAAGUGUCACAUUGAAUACUAGAAGGUUAGUCAUUAGAGAAUUUAUAUUAUUUGAUAUUAUGAACUUAAUUAACAAUACUACUGGCUCUCUCUAAAAAAAAUCUGUACAUUUCUGUAAGUGGGGCUUAUAUAGUAAUUAACUCUACUUUAUUGAUUAAUUAGCUUUAUUAUAUUUUAGGAGCAAUUGUUUAUAUAUUUCUGCAUAGUUUUCGACUUUCUUAUUUACCCUAUUUGGGUUGUGGUCGAAAGGUUAUAAAUCGUCCCCAAUUUCGAGUGUCCACCAGCGAAUGAACGAGUGGCAGGUCCUGAAAUGGACAGGGGAGCGGUUUGAAGCGUCAUACAAGUGAUUGAGAGGCGAGCUAUUACCAAUGGAGAGAGGCGAGGGCGAGAGAGAGCUCUGAGAAGGUUGGAGUAUGAUUUUUUACAAAGCAUGAGAAUGUGUGGAACGAAAUAACCGCGAUGUGAGAGGCGAGCUCUUGUCCGAUGAAGGGAGGCGAGUGUAGAGACAAAGAGUCAAGCGCGAGAUAGAGAGAGAGGAAAUGUGUGGAAUUUGAGAAAAGGAGGUGAAACUAUACCAGUCUUUAAUGAUCAUUUAUUAACCUCAACAACCAAUUCUCUAGUUGUAGGAUGCACACCCCAAACUGGGUGUACAGAUACCAUUUUUCUAACGAAAAAAUAUACGAGGGAUAUAUUGGAAACAAAAAGAAGGUAAAAAUAUAUCAAAUAUUUUAGAAGUUUUGACGGGUAGAUAGGCAAUUAUUCCUAUAUUUUAAUAAGAUAAAAAAGUAUAUAACAUAUUUGAACUAUAGAUCAUUUGAAAUCAGCUACAUAAUCUUUCAAAAUUUUGAUUUUAUUACCUGAUCUUUCGAUUUGUUUGAUUUAAAUUAGUUAACGGUAGAAACUUUAAGCGAAUUAAUUUGAUUAAUUUAUAGCUAUAAAAAAUGUUUGAAGUAUACUAACAAAAUAUAUAAGGAUAAAUGAUACAUUUCAAAUUUUAAAAUAAAAAAUACUGUUGAUCGACUCAAAUCAAACAAACAGGAAGGUCAGAUAGUAAAAUCAAAAUUUUUAAAGAUUGAGUAGCUAAAUCAAAAUAAUCCGUAGUUUAGAUUGUAAAUUUUUAUCUAAAUCUUUUUAUAUAUUUUUUGAAUUGUAAAUCAGAUAUAUGUCUACUUAUUUUAGUACAGUUUUACAGCCUAAUUCAUCAAUUUUGAAAAUUUUUUUUGUUCUAUUAUUUGAGAUGGUGAUAAAAUAUAGAAUAAUAAUUAAUGCGAUUUUUAAAGCAAGGGUAAUUGAGAUAGGGACCAAAAUGUAAGAGCGCUUUUUCAUAAUUUAGCCCAAAAAUUUCGGCAUAAAGGUUGAGGACCUUUUUCAAAAGUCCCAUAGUUGAGGGGUUUUCCAUACAUUUUUACCUUUAUUUUUUCGUUUUGCCCCCUGAAUACUUUCUCCUUCGCCACCACUCGUCCCUGAUGCCGCGAGAUCGCGACGAACCCGCCGCGGUUCGCGUCUACACGGUGUGCGACGAAUCCAAGUAAACCCUAACCCUCAAAAUCUCAUCUUCGACAUGCACAAAUUUGAUUCCAUGUCCUUGUCUCUCCUUUCUAGGGUUUUAUUUGUAGAAUCAGAUCAAACUGUUUUGUUUGUUCUUAUUGUUUUGUUUGAUUAAUGUGAAGAAAAUAAGGUGAUUUUGUGGUUAAUUAGAUCGAUUUUGAGUUUUUUACGACAAUUUAGAUGCGGAUGGUUUAAUUUUUGCGGUGUUUGAAAUCUCCUCUUCUUCAUAUGCAAAUUCGAUUCCAUGGCCUCAUCUCUCCUUUUUAGGGUUAUAUUUGUAGAAUCACAUCAAAUUGUUUUGUCUUUUCUUGUUGUUUUGUUUGAUUAAUGUGAAUAAAAUAAGGUGAUUUUGUGGUUAAUUAGAUCGAUUUUGGGGUUUUUGAUGGAAAUUAAGAUGCGGAUGGUUUAAUUUUUGCGGUAUUUGAAAUCUCCUCUUUCUCCAUACACAAAUUCGAUUCCAUGGCCUCAUCUCUCCCUUUUAGGGUUUUUAUUUGUAGAAUGACAUCAAAUUGUUUUGUUUUUUUGUUGUUGUUUUGUUUGAUUAAUGUGAAGGAAAUAAGGUGUUUUGUGGUUAAUUAGAUUGAUUUUGGGUUUUUGAUGACAAUUAAGAUGCGGAUGGUUUAUUUUCCGUAGGUAUUUGAAAUCUCCUCUUCUCCAUACACAAUUUCGAUUCCAUGGUUUCAUCUCUCUUUUUUUAGGGUUUUAUUUUUAGAAACACAUUUAUUGUUUUGUUUGAUUAAUGUGAAGAAGAUAAGGUGAUUUUGUGGUUAAUUAGAUCAAUUUUGGGUUUUUGAUGGAAAUAAAGAUGUGGAUGGUUUAUUUUUUGCAGGUAUUUGAUUGUGAGAAACGUGCCCUCUUUAGGAUGCGGCGACGAUCUCAUGAAGUUGUUCGGAUCGUAUGGGACGGUAGAAGAGUAAGUAGUUCUUGAACAUCUAAAAAUCCUAGCGCUAGUUGAUGUUCAUUUUUUUGUUUUUAUUUAAUUUAUUGUCACUUGCUAGUUUCAAACUUAGUCGUUGGGAUGGAAAAUGGAAAUUGGAUGAGAUCAAUUAUGAGGAUAUGUGAUUAGAUGCAUACUGAUGUUAUGUGAUAUGAAUGCGUAAUUGUAAUCAUUUUGAUGUUCUUGGUUUUUCAAAUGAUAGCUGUAAUCUGUUAAAUUCAGUUUAUUGAAGCUGAUUUUAGGAGAAUGUGCAUUUGAAGAAUUGUUAAACGUGAGCUUGGUAUUAAAUGGUUUCAAGGGAAAGCUAAGUGGCAGCCAUUGUUUGGCAACAAGAAGUCAAGAACUCUUGCUAUGGCCCAAAGUUGAAUUUCAUGUUCAACAAACGGAAUCUCCGAUUUGAAGCUUCUGCUUUAAUUGUAGUUAUGAAGUUGUUGCAAAAGUUUUAAUGCACAAAAAACAGUAUAGUUCUUCUUUAGACAACUCUAUUUAAGUAGUAUAUCUGUGAAUGCUUUAGCUGGAAAACAUGCGUUGUCAUUUCUAGAUGUAUGGUAUUAGCUGACGUGACUAAUAAGUAAAGAUCAUUAAAUAGAAUAUGGUAAUCAAGCACACGGAUUGUAAGGAGACCUUCUUCUUCUUCCUGUGAAUCGGUACACUCACUACCAAAACUACCACAGCAGCACCGAAACUUGCAAGCAAGGAUCAUUUGUAUGAUUUAUGAGGAUCCAAUUCAUAAUUUUGUUAAUAUAUGCUUUUUGCUGGAUUUGGAUUGCAUAAGAAACACUUAGUACAUGACUACGAUCAAAGUGCAUCAGUAAUUCUUUUUGUCUCUAAAUUCACUUUCUUUGUUGUAAACUCUUUCUAGAUGCAAACCCAUGGAUGCUGAGGAAUGUGAACCAUACACAGAUGUUUUCUUUAUCAAAUUCUCACAGGUCAGCAAUGCAAGGUGACAAAUGUGCUACAACUCUGAGAGCUACUAGAGAAUUUUUAAAUUAGUAUAGCAUAAGCAAGCAACAGCGUGAAAGAAACCAACAAAAAUAAGGGAAAACUUUUGACUAUUACUAGGGAGGUGAUGGUCUAUAAUUAAUGACUUAGAGGAAGGAAUUUGAUCUGUAUGGUUCUUUUCUUCCGUUCUUUUCAUAUGUUCGAAUUUUUCAAAAUUUAAAAGAAAUAAUUUAGAGGUUUGGUGCCAUGUUAUCGUAUAUGUUUUUUCUGACACAAGUGAGUGCUUCUGAAUUUAUUAAAUGCAUGCUCUUGUUGCAGGUUUGCAAAGCGGAAAUUGGAUGAGUCUGUAUUUUUGGGUAACCGACUACAGGUGUCAUAUGCGCCUCAAUUUGAGAGUCUCUCGGAUACAAAGGAGAAACUUGAGGUCAGGAGAAAGGAAGUUUUAGGCCGAAUUAAAUGUAAGAUGUCUGUGGUCCUUGCACCAAUCAGUGGUAUUGCAUGAUCAAUUUCACCAAUGGAUAGAGCAUCUCUUGAUAAAGUUAUUUCUGGUCUAAAAAUAGUAUUUUGGCCAUUUUGUAUAAAAAAAGUCUUUAGGUUUUGCAUCAUCCAUCUAUUUUUAUUCAACUUUUGCAAAUUUUUGCCAAAAUAUACUUUUACAUUGUUGGGCCAAAGUCUCUAGUGCAGAGAUUCAUUGCAAGGUGUCAAAGGCAUUAGUUCGUGAAGAGAUUCUGCCCAAAUGGCGGAGAUUUCGAAAAUAACUAAAAUAACAUUUUAGCUAAAGCUUUAGAAUGAUUGAUUUCCGGAUCUCCUAAGAUUUUGAUUAUGAAUUUUGGAUUGUAAAUUUCAAUUUGAAUAUGAUUCUGAUUCUGAGUCCUUUUUCGAACCAAAAAAAUUAGGAGUUUUCAUCAUUUCAUUUUUGAUUCCGAUCGAUUUCCAUUCCUAUUCCAAUUUUGAUUUCUAUUUUGAACCAAACACACCCUUAUAUUUAAAUUCUAGGUUUAAGUUAAAAAUUAAAACUUGAUUUCAAAUCAAAAAGUAAAUAAAAAUUUAUACGAAUUGAUAUUGAUAUGCGGGGGUUUAGAUGAGAGUUGGAAUUGGAAUGGGACUUUCGCUUGAUCAAAAGUGCCUAACCAAACACGCCCGUAAUUUACUAUUUUUUAUUAUUAUCUUCUCCUUUUCAGCUGCAUUUGGGUCAACAUCUCAGGCUUCAUCAGAUGGUGGUUCAGAGUUUCAAAAAAGCUCUAAAAAAAGGUAUUGAUAUCAUGCGCAUUAUGGUGCACUGGUUCUUAGUGGAAAAUGAAAUGUGUCGUUCAUGCUUUUAGGUUUUAUACUAAUGUCAUGAUAAUUGUUGAUUUUAUUUUCUCUCCAGGGAAUAUGGAAUGGUGAAUCGAACUUCUCAUGCUGAACAUUUUCCUCUCAAUCAUGUGUCCUCCAACAAGGUAUAUUCUCUUUUGGCCAUUUAGAAUGUGUCACUAAUUGGUCUAGACGUCUAGCAAGGCGUAACUGUCUCAAACUAAAGUCGGAUAAAUUUUUGCUGUAACAGGUCACUGUACUUUUAGUUUCUGGACCUGAAACCUUAACCAAUGCAUAUUUUUAAUCUGCACCACGUGAAAGCCGUCGGAAAUUGGUUUUCAGGCUGAAAAUUUUUUUUCCUUGUGUUUGGUUCCACAUGUAGUACUUUUAAGUGGAAAGCAAUUUUACGUAUUUUAGGGGAAACAGGUUUACAACCGCCAAACACAAAUACUCUUUUUCAUGUAGAGCAGUUGUUUUCUGAAACUCAUUUUCGCCGGUUUUAUGGGGCAUCAAACACUACCUUGAGUCUUUCUGUCGAAAAAACAUUACUGAAUAUUCCUUCAAAAAAGAAACCGUUAAGUUGACUCUCUAAUCUUAGGGGUGGGAGUCCAUUAAUCCAUACUUUGUAAUUUCAACCUUAAUCUCAUGUUUCGCAUGGCCCUCCGGCAUCCUGGUGUUACUUGUUAAAUAGUUUUUAUUUCGAUUAUUGGUGUUGUUUAUGCGGUCGAGUCCUAGGCUUUCUAUUCGUAUAGUAAUUAAAUUGUCACAUUCACAUGUUGGCUUUACCACCAACAAAACAAUGAUGUUAUUAGAUCUGUAAUAGUUUCUUAUUGAAUUUCAGGAUUAUUUUCCAUCGCCGUCGAUGAACGAGACUGUAAGAUUAGUUAGGGCAAAGCUUGAUAAGGUGAUAAAUACUCUCUCUCUCUCUCUCUCUCUCUCUCUCUCUCUCUCUCUUAAAUCUAUGCAACUUCUUAAAACUGCUGUUGGAUAUCUCAGAUUCAAUCUACUGCUGAGAAAUCACAAGCUCCAGUGGCCUUUAAGAAAGCGCGGGUGGACAACCGAAGAAGAAUUUGAUCAUUCAAGAAGCAAUUUGAAAGGAUACCGAAGCAUGCGCAGGAAUGCUCAGCCCUAGCAAACUCUCUUUACAUUUGUAUAUAUUCUUCAUGUAUUUAUUUUCUACUUAUUCCCUUUUUUUUGUCUUUAGAUUCUUCAAAUUCUUGAGAUAUAAAGCCUCAUUUCUUUAUAAUAUUUUAGAUUAACUUUACUGGUUUAAAAUUCAAUUUGUUGUCGUUGAAUUUCGAAUUUAGGGUUUCCGAGUGAGCUUUUUCUUUUUAGGUUAAUUGCGCAGGGCCCACUUGAAGUUUAUUCUGUUUGCGGUUAGCUAUUUAAACUUUCAAGGAAAAAAAAAAAAGGUAAAAAACGUACAUAACUUAUCUGAGCUAUGGAUCAUUGUGAAUUAGCUACUCAAUUUUUUAAAAUUUUUUUGACUUUACUACUUAAUUUUUCAAUUUGUUUGAUUUGCGUCGGUCAACGAUACUUUGACUUAAAAAAUUUCAACGUGUCGAUUUUCCUUACAGGUUUAGUUAUUUUAUUUUGGAAUAAUAACAUUCAAUCAUAUGUCGAUGCAAGUAUUAUUUUAAUAUAAAAUUAUUCUAGUGUCUCUGAUUAGACUCUCUCUAUGUUACAUAGCAUAAUAUAAUUGCUUGGGAGUAUAUCCUAGGACUUUUUUUUUCCAAAACUAUUCUAUAAAAUUUUCUAAUUGAGUAAAUAAUUCUAUAAAUUUAUUUGACAAAUUAAUUUUUGUUUAAAAUUUUCUCUUAAAAACGAUAAAUUAUUCACCGCCUUCGUAAAUACGGUGAACAAUUUGUUGCCUGCCUAAUUUUGCACAAAAAUGAUGAAUCAUUCACCAUUUUUUACUUAUUUACCGUUUUUUUUUAUAUCUCAUAUAUAAUUUUAAUAAUUAUAUAAAAAUUUUCACAAAUUAUAUAUAAUCAUAAUCAUCUGAAAAUCCUAAUAAUCUAUUCAUACAAUUCUAACAAUCAAAUAAAAAUUCUAAUAAUCCACGUAUAAUCCUUACAAUCUCUUUUUUUUUUUUUUCUAUUUUCCAUAUAAUCCACGUACAAUUCUAACAAUUAUGAAGAUGGUGAGACUGAGAAUCAGAAUGCUGUGAAUGAUUCACUGCAUUUCGGGGCUGGGAAUCAGAAUACUAUGAAUGAUUCACCGUGUUUUGAAAAAAAGUCCUACGUGGUGAAGAGAGGGUUAGUUUACCAAAUAUAAAUUUGGCAGGAUUAUUUCGCAAAUUACAAAAUUUAGAGAGUUAUUUUAUAAAAAAAAGUCCUAUAUCCUACGCCAUUAUAUUUGCUACAAUAAAGACUUUUCAGUAGGUAAAGAAAAUUUAAUUUUGGGAAGCAAUUUUAUCUGAAUAAUGUAAGCCAGAUUAGUGCAAAACACACAAAAGAAACAAGGGUUAGUUGCACCAUUGGUACCCAAACCNCACCAUUAUUACUGUCUCUUUUGGAUCACUAAGGUUUCGUUUGGGAUUGCGGGGAGAUUGCGUUACGUGCGGUGAGAAAGUAUGUUGGAACGCAAUAUCGCGAUGAGUCGGUUACGAUAUACAUUCUGCGGUCCCACCGGAGAACGCAGAAGUAUAUCCCUAUAUGUUUUUUUCUCAACUCCAUUUUAUCUAAUAAUGUUAGAUAGAUCUCAAUACCAAACUAAGUCUAAGUAUUUUCGGCGUCAAGUCGCGUUUGUUACCAAAUUUUUCGAAAAAAUUUGAAAGGUCAGUCCCAAGACUGAUCAAAAGCUAUUAGAUCAUAACCGUAGCCUGUAUGAGUAUGCAGUGCCUUUAUUAGAGUUGACAUGGGCCUGUUUUAUCAAAAUUAAUAAAAAAUUGGAUGAUAGAUUAUAAAUCUAGUAGCAAAAAGGGAAAAAAGAAAAGAAAAAAAAAAUUAGGGAACAAUGGUAAACUAUAUUGGAUGCUUAUGGAAGUUGGAACUAAUAUUUGUCUUUAAAGAGAGACUCUUGGUUGCUUCUAUCUCCUUGCUGGGGUGCUUGUUCUAUCUUGCAACACUGUUUUGCAGGUAAACUCACUACUUCAGAACUAUUUAAACUAUAUGAAAUAACUGUCUUCUCUAAAAACUUAAACUAGUAGAGUAAACAGUGUUUUUAAUAUUUAUAUUUAACGCUUCCCCUCAUAUCUGGGCUCAAAAGAUAUUUUGACACGCCAAAGACAUGGACAUAAAUUAAGUGAGAGAAAAUUAAUAAUGUUAGAAGUCUGGUGGGACUCGAACUCAGAACUUUAUGUUCUUAUACCAUUUCUCUAAAAGCUUAAGCUUAAUAUUUAUGCUCAACAAGCACAAUAUUUUUUGUUCAUUAUUUCUAUUAAAAUUAUUUCUUCGUUGUUUCAAUAAGGUUGGUCGUUUUAAUAAGGAAAAAAUACUUGUCUCCAAAUUCAGCAAGCUGAAUAGAUUUUUCGGUUACUGAUCAUACCUAGUGUAGUUAGCAAGGGGUUUUGGCAGUUGGUGCCUAAGGUCUCAAAUUUGAAGCUUAAUUGCUUUAUAUUUCUAGUUGAGUUUUUUUUUUUUGGAACACUUCAAAAACCUCCCUUGUGGUUUCACUUUUUUUCAUUUUAGUACCCUGUGGUUUAAAAUGUAUCAAGUUAGUACCAUGUGGUUUAUCACUUUAUCACUUUAGUACCCUAUGAUUUAAAGUGUAUCAAGUUAGUACCCUGUGAUUGUGCACUUUAUCACUUUAGUAUCAUGUGGUUUUGCACUUUAUCACUUUAGUAUCCUGUGGUUUAAAAACUACAGGGUACUAACUUGAUACAAAAUUAAAACCAUAGGGUACUAAAAUUUUGUAUCAAGUUAGUACCCUGUGGUUUCUAAACCACAGGAUACUAAAGUGAUAAAGUGCGAAACCACGUGAUACUAAAGUGAUAAAGUGCAAAACCACAGAGUACUAACUUGAUAUACUUUAAACCACAGUGUACUAAAGUGAUAAAGUGAGAAACCACAUGGUACUAACUUGAUACACUUUAAACCACAGGAUACUAAACUGAAAAAGUGUGAAACCACGGGGGGUUUUUAAAGUUUUCCCUUUUUUUGGGAAAACUUAAAAAAAAAAACAUAUUUUCUCUAAACAAAGAGCCCCUUCGUUCACUAGGCAAAUAAUAUCGUAAAAUCAUAAAAUUUAUUUUUUAGAUACUUCAAAUACUCUAGAUCAAGUUUAACGGAGCCGAUCGACGAUUCGAAAGUCGCAACAUCGAAAACGAGCUGGUCCGUGCUUCCGAUAGCAUAGUAGCCUCACUCUAUAUAUAUAUAUAUAUAUAUAUNUUUUUACCUUUGUAGCUUACAUAGAUUUUUAGAAUGAUCAAAUCACAUAAAAAGUACUAAGUUCAUGUCGGUUCUCAAACUCUCUUUGUUUAGAACUGAUCAGAGAUCCUUUUUUUUUUUUUCAUCUUUUUAACAUUUUAACCUUUUUUUUUAUUUUUAAAUGCAGCUUAGCAGGUAUUGUGCUUAUGUUCUCUGGCCUCUCUACAUUGUGUUAUGGGCAAAGAGCAAUGAGAUUGCUGAUCUGUUGGAAGUAACACCUGCACCUGCUGCUAAUGAUGUGGAGAAGCACCUUUUGUUUUAAAAACUUUUCACAUACUUUGGUGUUAAUUAAUGGAUGUACAUAUAUAAAGGUUUAAUUUUUCUUAUUAGGAACUAACUUGUUGUGUAAUGCAAAUUAAUAUUUAGCCUUAUUACAGCAAAUGUACAUGCAUGUCUCAACUUUCCUCUUCUGUCUCUCUCGCUCUCUCUCUCUCUAGACUUUUUUUUUUUUUUCUGGACAAAUAAUACAGAAAAAAUUUUUACAAUAUCUUCUUUUUUUUUUUUUUACUUUUUCUCUCUAACUUUUAAAAAUCUAUUUUGCUUCCUUAAAAUUUUAGAAAUAUUUUAGGGAGUUACGGCGUUGGUGGAGAGGACGAAAUGAUCAAAAUUGUUCUCACUUGUUUUACAAGAAAAAAAAAAAGAUUAUAUAUUUCUGUUAUGUUGUGAGUAUUUUCGGUAUAAAUUAUAAGAAAUGGCGGAAUAGUGAAGGAGCCUUUACACAGGUGGCUAAAUGCAUCGAUUUAAAAUUUUGAAGAGCCAGAGUGCAGAUUUUUAUAUAUCAGAAAGAAAAGAUAAAAAAUUAGGUAUUUAUAGAGAUUUUUUUUCUGUAUUUUAGCUUUUUUUUAAUUUUCCGGUGAGUUUGAAUGUUGGUUUGUAUCCAAAACUUUUUAUAUGUAUACUAUUAUUUUUGGUGAAAUUGUACAGUGCUGAACUUGAAAUUUUUUAUUUUAAUAUUUUAGCUUUCAAAUAAUUUGAUUUGUACUAUUAAAAGUAAUGCCUCGUAAAUCGUGCAUUUACUUUUUUGUACAUUAUACUUCAAUUUUAUUUUUUAAAUGCAUCUUAUAUUGUUUAUCUAAUCAUUCAACUCUUAACUAAAAUAACUGUAAACCAUUAGAUAGUAGAGAUCGAACAAUUAGAUGAAUUGAAUAAUGAAUAAAGAUGCAGUGUACGAACACACAAAUGCAUCGAUCAGAUUUACGCAAUAGUUUUUCAGAUCACCUAACAAACAACGAAAUCAAUUAAAAUGAAAAUAUAGGCGGUAAAAUCAAAAUUUUAAAACGUUAGGUAGUUAUUUGCAAAAGACCUAAAGUUCAAUACGUACGUAGUCGUCUACAUUUUUUACCUGUUUAUUCACUGCAAAAUUAGAAGUUAGGGGGCCAUUUCAAAAUUGGGUAUAGUUGAGGGGGGAAAUUAUAAGUUUUGUAAGCCUUUUUUUUCCUAAAAAAAAAAAACACCAAAUAUUUCCAAAAUUAAUGAACGAUAAUUUUCGGUAGCGGCCAUUUGUAAUAUCUAAAGAGUAACUUUUCAAAAAUCAUGAAUUUAAAUAUAAAAGUUAUUUUUUAAACCUAUUAGAAAUAAAUUCCCAAAGAUUAGAUUAUGAUUUUAUGGUUUCUUAUGUUCAGUUUCACACUGGUUUAAAAAGUGAGUAACAUGAAAUUGUGCAAGUAAAUCCCUAUAAUUAACUGGAGUAUAGUCGAAUAUACAUGCAGUUAAAAAUACAAUAAUUAUAAUUUUUAUUUAAUUGAAUAUAGUAAAAAAUUCCGUAAUUAUAAAUAAUUUAUUUUAUUGUAUGUUGUCGAGAAGUAUAUUUAUAAAAUUUUAUUACUUUAUAUAUACAGUAAUAAGAACACUCUUUAUGUAGAAAAGACAUAUUUUCUAUUUAAAAGAUUUAUUGAGGAAGUAAGCUUAUUUUUUUCAACUGCUGUAGUUGAAAUUGCGGGCCAAUUUAGAUGUAGUUAUAGUUACUAUAGUUGAGCCUCCUUAUGUGGCUUCAACUACAGCAAUUGAGUUUGAAUACAUAAAAACCUACUAAAUUUAUAUCAAAUUUUUAUCUACAUGCAGUUAUAAUAGUAAUACAGUUAUAACUAUAUGCAAUAAAUGUAACGACCCAAUAGUCUCACAUUGAAUUGGAAAGGGUUUGUGAAUAAUAAUAUAAUAAUUUAAGCCUCUAGUUAUAAUAACUGGACAUAAAUAUUUUGGGCUGGCGACUUGGGCGCGACAAGUCAUUACCGUUAGCGGAUCGGAUCGUUAUAUUUGGUAUCAAAGAAGAAUAUCAGUCGAACGUGUGAGAACUAAUUAAGCACUAUGCAACACAAUGUACGCGGUACAUCACGGGUUUGGUGGGAGCGCCCUCUUGAAUCCGUAGGAGCCACAUCUAGAAUCUCACAUCACUUAGUAACUUGGGUCUACGUGUCCAUGAUCUGGUUUGAAUGAAGAAAGUCUGUAACGUUCUAAUGGUCUCACAUUAAAUAAAAAAGCAUUUGUGAAUGACACCAAAAUUAUUUAGAGCUCUAAUACUAAUAAUAGAGCUUAAGUAUUUUGGACUGAUGAUUUAAGCUUAAUAAAAUUAUUAUCGUUAACGGAUCGGAUCGGAUCGUUACACGUAAAAGGUUAUAGAAACUAAGAAAAUAAGGGAUCUUUUGGUUAUGCAAAGCGACCUAAUUUUUGUUAUCAUCUUUCGGAAAGGCUCCGUUAAACAUGUGGCAUGAUAUAUAUAUAUAUAUAUAUAUAUAUAUAUAUAUAUAUAUAUAUAUAUAUAUACUCCACAACACCAAAAUUUAUUUAUUUGUAGAUGAAUCUUUCACCUUAUUUUUACAGAAAAGAAAAUGCCACUUUCUGCCAAACUGGGUAAGCAUGCAUGAAGUGCGGGCGUGACGUGCGGGCACGCGGGACUGCUGCCAUCGUUGGCGUCGCACCGCAGGCCUAAAACCCGGGCAGACUGAAGUAAGUAAUUUAGAGAUGAGAAGAAUUCACCAGAUCGCAUUCUCCUGCAAAUAUCUUUUUAGGAAUAAUAUCUAAAAUAUAUUCUUUCAAAUUUUUAAAAAAUAAUCCUGCUGUUCAUGUCUAUUAAGUCAUCUCGAAUUAAAUCUGAAUUAAAAUUUUAGCAGAGUUAAAAAAAAAGUUAAAAUACAUUUUUUCCGUUUCUAACUUAUGAACAAAUAAAAAAAAUUGGUGACGAUAGAAAGUAUAUCUGAAAAGAAAAAAUCAAAAUAUUUUUUUUUCUAUAACUAGAGAGCAAAUUAGAAAAGUUAGUGAUAGUAGAAAGGUAUAUUUCAAAAAACAAAACAGUAAUUUUAUAGAAAUAUCGGAUGUUCCUAAGAAUUUAACUCUAGAAGGGUAUAUUUAAAAUAGGGUUAAUUGCAUACAAGUUCCCGCAAAUAUAGUGAAUUGCAAAUAUAAUCCUGUAAAGUUCAACUUUCAUAAGUUAUCCCUGCAAAAGUCUUAAUAUUUCCAGAUAUGUUCCUCUGGUUUGUUACUGUUAGAGAACCGUUAGAAAACUGUUUAUAUUUCUAAUUUUACCAUCACAAAUAUGUCCCUCCAAAAGUUAUUACAGUAUAAUAUAAAAGGGGCAAAAAUGUUAAAAAUUAAUCAGGGUAAAAUAUUUAACCUAUGGUUAACUAAACUUUUUUAACGAAUUCUAAUGACAGGGACAUAUAUGAAAACAUUAGAACUUUUGUAGGGAUAACUUAUGAAAGUUGAACUUUAUAGGGAUAUAUUUGCAAUUCACUAUAUUUGCGGGAACCUGUAUGCAAUUAACCCUUUAAAAUAACAUGAAACUUUAAAAUGGUAAUUUAAUAUUGGCUUCUAAGAAAGAUAAAUGAGACAGUUAAAAAUUUUUGAGGGGUAUUUAAGCAAUUCCCCCAAUAUUUUUAAAGCACUAGUUGCAUACAGCUCCAUGUAAACAUAGCGAAUAGCAAUUAUAUCCUUACAAAGUUUAAUUUUUAACUCUUAUCCCUACAAAAGUUCAGUGAUAUUCAUAUUUAUCCUACUAGUUUGUUAUCGUUAGAGAACUGUUUAUUUUUUAACAGUAGAUAAGUGAAAUGUCAAUUUUGUCAUCACAAAUAUAUCCUUCCAAGAACCCUAACUACUAUAAUCGUGCAGAAAUAUUCCCAAAAAUUUUUUAAUGGUUAUUUUCUUACUCAUCUUCCUCCUCUUUAAAACCCAACUCAAUUUAUUAUUGUUGCAAUCUCUUCUUUCACUCUUUUUCUCCUAAAUAUUUUUUUUAGUAAAAUAAGAAAAAAAAUAGAGAAAAUUGAAUGGGGAAGCAAUACGAGUUCGACGUGGACAAAGCAACACGCGUCGUGGAUGAAUGAGGACGGAGAAAUUCUAGUUACGAGUUCGAAACUAGCAUGAAAGAUAGAGAGGAAGAGAAAGAAGAAGAAAAGUUUUCAUUCCUAGGGUUUUGAUUGAGAGAAAAAGGUAUAAUAUAAGAGGGAUAAAAAUAUCAAUUCACUUUAUUGACUAACUAGGGUUAAAUAUUUUAUCUGUGGUUAACUAAAAUUUUCUAACGGAUUCUAACGGUAGGGACAUAGUUAAAAACAUUAAGACUUUUAUAGAAAUAGCAUAACAUAGUUGAACUUUGUAGGAUAUGUUUGUAAUUCGCUAUGUUUACAGGGAGCCGUAUGCAAUUAACCUUUUUUAAAAUCGGGUCGAACAACGAUCCAAAAAUAUUACUGAGUUAAGGGUUAUUGGUUCUACCUGUGGUGACAUCCACAUGACGUCCUAAAUAUUAAAUUAAUUUUUAAUAAUAAUAACAAUAUUAUUAUUAUUAUUAUUCUGGUAUCAUACUUAUUUAUAAAAUAUUAAUGAUUUUUAGACUAAAUUAUGUAAAUACAAGUUUUUAAAUUUCAUUUUUCAUAAUAAAAAGUGAAGUCUGUAAAAAAAAAACAAUCAUAAAUAAAAUUAAAAGUUACACCAAUGAAGAAAAAAAAAUAAAACAAUAAAAAAAUUUAGCCGAUUUGUUUGGAACCGGACUGAUUCACCAGUUCGCUGGUUGAACCUCCAAUUCAAAUGAUUAAAAGUGGGUUUUUGUUUUAUCCAGUUCAAAAUGUUGCACCGAACUGCUUUAUUAACAAUGUUUUAAAAAUCGGAUCCUCCCAAAAAUUAUUAUUGGGUCAAGGUUUACUGGUUUAACCAGUGGAUCAACUGCUAUUUGAACUAGUGAUGUUAGUAUGACAUCAUUAAUAUUUAAUUAUUAUUUUUAAUUUUAGUAUAUAAGAAAUGUAUUUUUUUUAUUUUUGUAUCGUACUUAAUUAUAAAUUAUAGAUUUUUAGACCAAAUUAAAUACAUUAUAAGUGGUUUAUUGACUUAUCUAGUUCAAAGGGUUGAACCGAACCACUUGUUUAUCAAUCGGGUCAUGGUCAACCAAUCGAAGCGGCCUCUUUGAUCCGAAUUUUAAAACAUUACCUUCUACCUACACAUAAAUAGUCCAACUAGAAUGCUUUUACCAGCACGAAGGGCGCCGUGCUUUUUAAUUAUUUUUUUAUGAUAGGACAUCUGAAUCGACGACAAGAAUGCUUUUGCAAGCGCGAAAUCAAGGUCCCAUACUUUUUAAUUAUUUUUGAUGAUGGGAAAUCUGAAUUGAUGACUAGAAUUUAUUUUUGCAAGCGUGAAGGAUGCCAUAUUUUUAAAUUAUUUUCUAUUAUGGGACAUCAGAAUUUACGAUUGGCUAUAUUAGACAUGAUAUAUUAUACCAUUAGAAGUAUCUAGAAAUCAAGUUUAUAAUUUUUUGAUAUUAUUUUCUUAGUAAACAACUGGUCUCAAAAUAACGAUCGAAAAUAAAAAUCUCAUAAAAAAUAAUUAUACAAAACUUAAAUUUCAAAUUAAAACUACUGGCAAGGGGAUAGGAAUAGGAAUAGGCCCUUAUCCCCCCUUUAUACCCAAACGCUAAUUUUUUACCGGAGAAUAGUAGUUUUUGGUUAUUCCCAUCAACACCUCCAUUUUCUAUAUAAAACUACCUAAAAUUGUCUUAUCCCCGGAAACAACCUAAUUUUCAUCCAAACACUAUUUUUCUUAUCCCCAUAUUUGUACCUAUUCCUGUAAUAGCUAGUUCUUGCUUAUACCCGAACCAAACGGUAGAUAGUAUAGAAUAUUUUCUAGCAAAUUUUUGCCUAAUUCUGAUCGUUCUACACGGUUAAACUUAUAAAUAUGUUACAUCUACUAUUAAAAUAUAUAAUUUUGAGAUCUUUUGAUCUUAAGAAAUAUAUAAUGUCGAAAAAUUAUAAAAUAUAAUUUCUAUAUAUAUAUUUUUUCAAUAUUAUAUAUCAUAAUAACUAAUAGAGCCGUCAAUUUGGACAUCUUAUCAUCGUGCUUCUAAAAAUAUUCUAGCUAGACUCCACAUAAAUUAAUAACAAAGAUUUGUAAGAUUUUUCGAUGUAUAUAACUAAUCAUUAUUGGGAUAUAUUUAUUCCCAGGUAGUGAAUAAAUUAAUAAAUUAACUAUAUCUAAAUUAAUUUGCUAUAAUAAUAAGUAGCUUGUGGCGUUCAUUGGUAGAACAUGAGGGACAACACCAGGUAAAGAGUAUAAAAUAACUCUUAAAAUUUUAAGCUAAUUUUUCUAAAUGAAAUAAAUGAAGCGGGUAGCGUGCUACCUAUCUCUCUCUCAAAAAAAAAAAAAAAGAAAAAAAGAAAAAAAAAGAAGCUAAUUUCAAAAGAUCUUCUGUAUAUUUUUUCAACCAUCAGAUACAGAGUCUAUAAAUUUUUAAAAAUCUCCUGUAUAUAAAAAAAAUAAUGAAAUAUUACUUUUAUAUUAGUCAUUCUGAGUUGAUGAAAUAAUUAUUUAAAACAUAUUUGACAUCUCACAUAAAUUAUUUAUUUAUUGUCUAUGUUUGUCACGAGAUCCAAAUCAUCCUGGUUCGAGUCGCGACCGCUGCACUUUCAAACAAAUCAAAUCUGAAUGUUUAAAUUUGAAUUCUAUGAAAGUACAACACUUAAGUGCGAAAUAUACAUCGAUUAGCACUUAGGGGUUGAUCAGAGUGGUGCAACUAAAUAUCUAAUCGCGCGUCACUACAAUAGAAAUAGGUUAUAGGGACACAUGUUUGGGACACUUUUCAAUAAGUGUCCUAUUUAUACUAAAAUUUAAAAAACAUCUACUAAUGCCUAAAUAUAAAGCCCAAUCCAACCAAAAAUAAAAGAUUAUUCUACUCAACCCACCACACCCAGUCCAUUUGGCCCGAUUACAAACAGAAAAGAAAAAAAAAGAAAAAGAAAAAUNAUAGUUUUUUUUGAAAAAUUUUAUAGAAUGUGACCACUCUAUUUGAAAAUAUGACAAAAUUCACAAAUACAACUAUCAGCUUCAUAUUACCAAACAGUAAAAAUGUAACUGCAGCAGUUGCAACUGCGUAAAACCAAACAGACUAGGUGUAAUUACAACUGCAGCAUUUGCAACUGCAUGUAUUUCCAACUACACUGUUUCUACAACUACAUCCAACCAAACAGCCCCUUAGUGGUUGAUAAGAGUGGUGCAACUAAAUCUCUAAUCGCGCGUGCGACGAAGAAAUAGUCAUUAGCACAAUAUGAGCAACUACAAGUAAAGUGUUUACUACCUAAAACUAUGUCGUCUCGCCGCGUACUUCACUCUUAAGCCACUAUUCAUAUGUACCUGCAAAACAAGUAGGCAAAAGUCUAAGUGAUUAGGAUACGAUCUUAAGAAGUUAACAACUAACAAAUGCAUAUGUACUAAUAAUUAAUAUGUACCAAGUGCUCAGGAAUAAUGAGCCAUGCUAAAUUAUUGUAAUUAGAAUGAACUACCUCGACAACUCUCGUGCCCUGGACACAAACAAUCCAACUCGACCAAGUCAGCAUACCCACGUUCGAACAUCAGCAUGUCACUUCAAAAUAGCUCGUCAUAUAUAACGUGCCCCCAGUAUGAAUUAUUAGAUGUACUUAUUCAUUUUCCAUGAUACUAACUGAGUCGUACCUCUCUAAUUCCGUAUGUACUCUAGUAAUCCAUUAUAGGUAUACACACACCAACUGAUCUGUGUAUAGAGUGUCGCACAGCAUAAUGUCCUCACAUGAUGUAUAUUAGUGUAGAGACCCGCGCGAUGCAGCGGGUAGAUAAUAGAAGCGAAAUUUAAAAAUUUUAAUAAAAUUUAUAUUUACAGUUUAUUGAUAUAUAGGAAGCUAUACUAUAUUAAGCACAACAAAUUUAUAUGACUAAAUUCACAUGGUAAGAUGGGCCCCCGCGCGGACCAGCUCAGCGAGCACUUAUAUGGGCCUUGGCUCGUCUUCGCGGGACGAUACUUCUCGAAGGAGACAAUAUUCUUCAGAGGCUUUUUUUUUUUCUUCUUCUUCCUCGUCAUCUUCGUUAACACAAUGAGAGAAAGAGGGAGAUGAGUGCGGAAUAGGAGAUUAGGCGAUGAUAUAUUUUUUUAUGGUGCAUGUAAAAGAGUUACAAAAAAGAGGGGAUGGGAGAUUUAUGGAGGAUGAGAGUGGAUUAAAGUUAUAAAACUCACUCAUUGAUAGAAUAUUAAUAUGGUGCAUAUAAUUAAAUGUUACACCUUGCAUGUAAUUAGAGGAGUGGGGAGGUGAGUUGGGUGUUGAGAAUAAGAGAAAGUGGUUUGAUUUAAAAUUGGAUUUAAAGUUGUAUGUAAUUAAAUGUUGCAUCUUACAUGUAAUCAGAGGAGUGAGAAGGUAAAGGGUUGGGCGUUAAGAAGAUAAGAAUGAGGUUUGAUUUAAAGUUGGCUAUGAGAAUUAAGAGUAACAUGCCACGUGACAAAAAAUAUUGUGGCUUCAUAUAGGUUUAUAGAUUAUAGAUAUGCUAGCCUUUUGGCACAUUGUCUAUAUCCUGAUAAAUCUUUAAGCAUGCAUAUGUUAGGAGUACGGCAAACCUUACUACUCUUGGUGAUGUUAGAUCUAGUCCCGGCCUACUAAACUUGUCCUAUAUUGACUUAUGUGUAUCUUUAUCUAAAUAUUUACUCCGCAGACCAAAAUCUCUGCAAAUAAAUAAAUAAAUAAAUAAACAAAAUCUUAUUAGCGCUAAUAAAUAGUAGAUUUUUCCCUGAUUCACAUAUCAUCACAUAUCUAUAUAACUCUAUGUCUCCAAUUUUCAACCGAAUAAUCAAAUUCUCGGGCUUUUGUUCGACACGUAAUAUUCUUGGGUCUCUACUCGAUACGUAUCAAGUACACAUUCAUACCACUAUCCAAGGAGAAAUAACAUCAUUGGCACAUGGGGUUGGGAUAACUCACAUAGUGCUAAUCCACAAUACCACGAGUACCAAACUUAACACACACUGUGUGCAUAUCUAAUAUGAUACUCAACCCAAUUCGACUUAUGCCACACGAAAGUCUGAUUCGACGCGAUCGAUACCAUAACAAUAAUAUGCUAUCAUGUAUCAUGCAAUGUAACGCUCCCAAUAGUCACACAUCGGAUGGAAUACUAAUUCCGAUCAAUUUAUAUGAGGCCUACACGCUAGUAAUAAUAACUGGGCUUAAGCAGUUUGGGCCGAUGGUUUGGGCCCAACGAGUUAUUAUUGCUGGCGGGUCGGGUCGGGUCGUUGCAAUUGGUAUCAGAGCUGAAUACCAGUCAGAAGUGUGAGAACUAAGUGCUAUGCGGGACAAAGUGCUACACCAACGAGUUUGGUGGGAGCCGCCUCUUGAACCCAUAGGAGCUAUCUCUAGAAAUGGUUCUGGUCUGUCUGUCUGUGAUCUGGUUUGGACCCGACGAGGACGUCAGGGUCUAAACAGGGGGAGUUUGUAAUGCCCCCAAUAGUCCCAUAUCAGAUAGGAUACUGAUUCCGAUCAGUAUUUGAUUUGGACCCGACGAGGACGUCAGGGUCUAAACAGGGGGAGUUUGUAAUGCCCCCAAUAGUCCCAUAUCAGAUAGGAUACUGAUUCCGAUCAGUAUUUGAUUUGGACCCGACGAGGACGUCAGGGUCUAAACAGGGGGAGUUUGUAACGCCCCCAAUAGUCCCACAUCAGAUGGGAUACUGAUUCCGAUCUGGGUUUAAACAUUUUGAACCGGUGGUUUGGGCCCAACGAGUUAUUAUUGCUGGCGGGUCGAGUCGUUGCAUGCAAUUCAACACAUGAAAUGACAAUUUGACACAACUAUUCUAUUUGUGUGUCCCCUAGAGCAAGUGGCAAAGGGUUUGGUGGUUGGUACCCAAGAUCCAAGUUCGAAUCCUAGUUGAUUCACAUUUCUACCUAAGUUUAUUUUUAAAUGAAAUAAACGAAGCGGAAAUAAACGAAGCGGGUAGCGUGUUACCUAUCUCUCAAAAAAAAAUAAAUAAUGAAUAAAAUAAUUUCGAAAAAAAACUACUAAAUUAUUAGCUCAGUAAGAUAAUAUUCUACUCGCAGUUUGUCGAUGUAUAGGAGAUCGGCAAAAUUCAAGUAAAGAGCUGUCUACCAUCUAUAGUUGUCCUUCGGUCGACCUAAGAUCCAAUCUUGGUUGACCGUCUGUAUAGUUGACGGCAUCUGAUUGAGUAUAAAAUCCAAAGCUAUAAAGAAACUGUUAACUUUAAUUAAAAAAACAAUUAAAGAAAUUAUAUGAGAUAUUCUAGUAAAGCCUAUUAAACUAAAUAUCACAUCUAAAUUCUGAAAAGGAAAAGACACCAAAUUGCUCAAAUUAGAUAAGUUUAAAAAUCAGAUAUAAAAAUUAAAAAUUUUAGAGGCUAGAUAGGUUGAUUAAAAAAGGAUUAUUAGUUAAGCUAAGUUCCAUACAAUAUUAUAUCUUUUCCCAAUAAAAAAAAAAAUAAACAUGCUUCAAAUGAGUUGAAAUUAUUGGCUUAAAUGGGGUCAGCAUCAUGCCUUGUGGCAGGAGGUUAUGUUAGGCCUAGUCAUGUUCGAAAUAGCGGGAGGCUAGGUUGGCCGAAUCAUGUUCGAAGUGGCGAGAGACUGGAUGGGUCAAGUCACAAUCGAGACUCGUGGACGUUGUAUCUAUACGCUUUAAGUGAAUUAGUUGCCUAUUUCUAACGGCUCGAGUUUUUGGAAUUAAUGGUUAACGCCAACGAUUCGACAAAAAUGAACCCCUCGUGAUCAUCUCCUCUUUAUUAACUACUCAAUUAUUAUUAUUAUUAUUAUUAUUAUUAUUAGAUAAAAAUAUAAUAAAAGCCAUGCAUUUUAGUAAUUUUCAAAAAAUCGUGUGAACUUUUAUUUUGACAAUUAGAUCUUUUAAAUUUUAUAAAAUUACUGAAUAGCCCCUUUUGUUUAGCCGUUUUCAUUAAAGAUGUCCGUGGACCGGGUCGGGUCUGGGUAAUUAAUAUACUGUACCCAUACCCUAAAAAGAAAUGGUUACAAAAAAAAAUAUAUACCCUACCCAUUUAACUUCGGGUCAGACCCGGGUCUGGAUACUAAAGUUACUAACAUACCCAUCGGGUCUAUUUGAGCGGGUUUGGAUAGUGACUACCCGUAUACUACCCGUUCAAAACCGGAUAUGGAUCGGGUUUAAAUCGGGUACGGAUAUCCGUAUAAACAUAUUGUUUUAUAAACUUUAUUAAAUAGUCAAUAAAUAAACUAUAUUGUUGACAAUAAAAUAUUGUUGGCGGAAAUGAAAUGAAAAAAAAAGAGUAAAAAAUAAAGAGUAAAAAAUUAGAAAAAAGUAAUGAGUAAAAGAGACGGCUAGAGUUUCAUUAUGAUGAAAAUACAUAGUGACUCAUCAUCUAUAAGUCAUAUUAAAAUUGAUCCGUCAACUUCAAAAGUUUAUUUUUUUUUUAUUUACUAUCGGAUAUUUCAUUGGGUCCGGGUCCGGAUCCGGAUUUGAAAACUAUUCCGAACCCUACCUAUUUAAAAGUUAGGUUCGGGUCGGGUCUAAAUCGGUUAUGGGUAUAAAAUAUCCGGACCCAUACCCAAACUUUUAAUGGGUAAUUUUUUUUAUCCGUAUACUAUUCAUUUUUUAUCGGGUCUGGUUCGGGUCCGGAUAGGAUCCGGAUCAAAUAUCGGAUAUUUUGGACACCUUUAGUUUUCAUCGUAUAUCUAAUAGAUAAUUAAUUUUAUAAAGCUUCAAAACACAAUUUCCUUUUUGCUAUUCUAACAAAAAGAAGUAAUAAAAAUUUAAGUUAUUUUCACUCUAUUCUUCAAUUCUCAUAAAAAUUAUCAAAAUUAAAGGAGAAAAAAAAAUAUUUUUUAUAUUUUGAAAUCUUACAAGUGCAAUAAAGCGGCUGUGGAAAUAUUAAUCUUUAGAUUGAGAAGAUGCUUCUAUUUAACUACGUGAUAAAAUUUAGAGAAAACUUCAAAAACCCCCCUGUGGUUUUGUAGUUUCUCUCUUUACUCCCCUGUAGUUUAAAUGGUAUCAAUUUGCCCCCCUGUGGUUUCUUUUUUCUCUUUUUCUUAUCAAUUUCAUUAUUUUUUUUCUUAAAUCAGUGAUAAAGUUAAAAUUAAAGGGUACUAAAAUAAAUAUUUGAUAAAUCUAGAUGGGUAUCUGAAGUUUUUGUAUAUAAUUUAAUGAAAUGUUAACGAAAAAGCUACCGAAAAGAUAAAAACGAAACCACAGGGGGGCAAAUUGAUACAUUUUAAACCACAGGGGGGCAAAGUGAGAAACUAUGAAACCACAGGAAAAGUUUUUGAAGUUUUUCCUAAAAUUUAUAAUGUCCAAUUAAAAUUAAAAAUUGGCCUUAUUUGGUAUCGUGUUUGCUUUUUAACUGUUUUAAUAAAAAAUUUUAUAUAUAAAAAGCGUCGGAGUAAUUCUUUUUUCUAAAUUGUGUAUUAUAAUAAAAAUAAAAAUUUGACAACAAAUUUUCUUUUUCUUUUAAAUUCUUUUUUUUUAAAAAUUGNAAAUUUUGGAGAGUUUUUGUGCUUAUUAUGAUUAUUAGUAGUGUAAAUUGCACAUUUGGUCUUCAAAUUAUGAGGCGGUGACAUUUUGGUUCAAAAACUUUAAAUUUUUAUAAUUUCUGAUUUGAUUUAUUAAAAUUAUUACAAUCGAGUCCUAAUAUCCAAUCUAAUUAACUAAUAUUGACGUAUUGCUAAUGUAAAAGUGAUAUAUCAUUUUGAUUGCUGGCGCGCCAUCAAUUAUCAUACUCUCAUAUUAUUUUUACAUUAGCGAUAUAUUAAUAUUUAAUAAACUAAAUUACAUAAUAAAGUUUAAUUAUAGUAAUUUUAAAAAUUCGAACUAAAAAUUAUAAUAAAUUAAAGGGAAAACUUCAAAUACCACCACGUGGUUUCACACUUUUUCAUUUUAGUAUCCUGUGGUUUAAAGUGUAUCAAUUUAGUGUUCCGUGGUUUCAUUUUUAUCUUUUUUCUUAUUGAUUCUACUAAUUUUUUUCGUUAAAUCAGUGAUAAAGUUAAAACUAAAAGGUUCUAAAGUGAAUAUUAGAUAAUCCUAGGUGGGGUAUCUGAAGUUUUUUGUAUAUAAUUUAACAAAAUAUUAAUGAAAAAGUUGACGAAAAAAUAAAAAUAAAACCACAAGACACUAACUUGAUACGCUUUAAACCACAAAAUACUAAAGUUAGAAAGUGCGAAACCACAGGGGUGGUAUUUGAAGUUUACCCUAAAUUAAAAUUUUAAGAGGGAAACUUCACAUACCUCAUGUGGUUUCGCAUUUUCUCACUUCAGUACCCUGUGGUUUAAAGUGUAUCAAGUUAGUACCCUGUGGUUUCGCACUUUCUCACUUUAGUACCCUGUGGUUUAAUAUUUUGUUAAAUUAUAUACCCCGAAAUGGAUAAUAAAAAGAAAAAAUUGAAACCAUAGGAUACUAACUUGAUACAAAAAUGAAACCACAGAAUACUAACUUGAUGCAGUUGAAACCAUAGGGUAUUAAAGUGAGAAAGUGCGAAAUCACAAGGUACUAACUUGAUAAACUUGAAAUUAUAGGAUACUAAAAUGAGAAAGUGUGGAUAUUUGAAGUUCCCCAAAUUUAAGACCUAAAUAUGUAAUUCACUCUUCUUCUUCUUCUUAUUGUUAUUAUUAUUAUAUAUUAUUAUUAUUACUUUUCUUUGGAAAACUACUAGCUAUUGUUUCAUCUUUCGCACCAGGCGCGGUGAAAAAUGGGAAAAAAUAUACAUAUAUGUAUGUAUGUAUAAAUCAAACCAAAAAUAGAUCGAAAGAGACAAAAACAAAUACAAAUAGUUUUUUUUUUUUUUUAAAAAAAAGAAACGAAAAAAAGCCCCGAAACAUCAAGGGGCGGUGCGUUGUCGGCUGUUUCGCGAGCAAGGGUUUCGUCUCCUCCUCUCGACCUCCUCCUCUGAUCCCAAUCCCUUCCUCCCCCCCGAUCGCCCGAUUCCCUUCCUCCUCCGCCGGUAAGUCUCCGAAUCCUCGCGAUUGGAUCCUUUUUCCGCUAGAUUCCACAAAAAUUUGAGGUUUUUCCCGUCGAUUUUGGCCUCGGAUUCGUCGGGUUCGGUCCGGGGGUCGGGAAACCCUAGAUCUCGCGCGCUCUCCGUGUUUUGAUCCGUUUUUCGGUUUGGAAAAGGGUGGAUUUUGCGAUUGGAGCGGGGAUCUGGGGUGGUUUCGAUCGGAUCUGGGGGGAGUCACUGGGGAUCAGCUCGAUUUGGUGGUGGAUUUGAUGGAUUGAUCCGUUGUGGUUUGAAUUGGGGCAAGGGGUUGGCUUUUGCGUUUAGGAAGGGGGCGGAGAGGAGAUUAGGUUAGAGCUUGUUGGCGGAGUCGGUUUUGGUGUCGGAUUUGAUGGUGUCACCUUCUCCUCCUCCUCCGCCGCCGCCGCCGCCACCGCCGGCGGCGGUGGAGGAUCAGACGGAUGAGGAUUUCUUUGACAAGCUCGUGAUCGACGACGACGAGUUUGGCGUCGAGGGAUCUCAUGCCGUAUCGAAGGAUAUGGCUAGGGAUUUCUCCAAUCUCAGCCUCGGCAACAUCGGAGCCUCUUUGGAUGAUUUGGGUGAUUCGGGUUUCCCUUCAGAAAUCAAACCCACAAAGGAAAACAAUGGCCUUCCUCCUGCCUCGGAUCCACCCAAAGAUGAUGGUGUUCUGAAACACGAGGAAAGUGGCCCCUUUGGUUCACAGGAGAGCAUCGGAGAGGUUGCAUCGCCGGGCUCGGUGGUUGUGAAGGGUGACGGAUCCAAGGGGACCAGCGUGAAGGAGGUCCAGUGGAGUGCUUUCUCGUCCGAUACACAGCCCUUUGGUCAAGGGGGCUUCGGAUCCUAUUCAGAUUUUCUGAAAGAAGAUGGUUCUUCGGAAAAUUUCAAAAGUGAUACCAACGUCAACGGCAGUUUUGUUGAAAACCCAGUUGAGAAUCAAAAUCUUUAUGGUGGUUACUAUGAUCAGCAAGAAACACAAUAUUACGGGUCGACUAAUGAGCAGGUGCCUGAUGCAAAUGAUGCACAGUAUUGGGAGAAUCUUUACCCUGGAUGGAAGUAUGAUGCAAGCACUGGACAGUGGUAUCAAGUGGAUAGCAUCGAUACUACUACUGCUGCUGCUGCUGCUUCCACGAAUACCCAGUGGGACAACUAUACUGCUACAAGCAUGGAUUCCCAGGUGUAUGGUCAAAAUUCUACUGCUACUACUGCUGCUCCUGCUGCUCCUGCUAAUGAAUCUUUUGAAAUGAAAUCAGAUGUUUCUUAUCUUCAACAAACAACUCAAUCCGUUUUAGAUACCAUUGCAGAAGAGAGUACCACGAAUAGUAUUACUAAUUUGAAUCAGGAGUAUCAGGCCAGCACAGAAUACCCACCGAAUAUGGUUUUUGAUCCUCAGUACCCAGGAUGGUAUUAUGAUACAAACACACAACAGUGGUACACUCUGGAAUCAUACAUGCAGACCACACAGGUGACAUCUAGUACAGUUCAGGACCAGGUGAAUCAAGACUAUAGUGCUUCAGCUGGCUUCGGAGAACAGCAUCAGAACCAAAAUUAUGCUGUAGUAGGUCAAUUGGAGCAAAGCACUAUUCAGGGUACAGGUAACCAAGAGUUUGGAGGGGAUUGGAAUAACUAUAAUCAGCAGACAAUGUGGCAGCCUGAAGCAGCUGGCAAUAAUAAUACUGAAAGUUUGUCAGGAAAUCAGCUUUCUAGGAGUUUCUAUGGUUCUAUGGGGAAUUCAGUAGGUCAGACAAACCAACAAGUGAGUUUCAAAACUUUCGAACCUGUUACAACUCAUAAUUACGGAAGCACUAAUGGUGUGGCUAGUUCUCAGAGCUUUGUUCCUUCAGAAAGCAUGUACCAGUUCAAUCAGCCAAAGCUGGAGCAGAAUCAGCAAGCUUAUUUAUCAAACAGUUACUAUGGCAAUCAGAAUUCUAUGAACUUCUCUCAGCAAUCAUUUCAAAAUGCGGAUCCAUCCUAUUCUCAGUUCUCUUAUAUACCUCAUGAAGGGAGGUCGUCUGCUGGACGCCCAGCGCAUGCUUUAGUUGCUUUUGGAUUUGGUGGUAAACUCAUAGUGAUGAAAGAUGCGAGCUCUUUUAGCACAAAGCUGGACUAUGGAAACCAGGUUUGGCUCUAGCACUUCUCUUGUCUAAUAAACUAAAAUGCAACAAUUAUGGCAUAGAAAUUUCUUACUCUUACUUUUUCUCUUCAGAUUUGCUAGGUUAGGUUUCCUAUAGCUAAUUUGUCUUAAAUUUUUGUUAUUUCUAAGGGUACUUCUGGUGGUACGGUCUCAAUACAUAGCUUAUCAGAGAUUGUGAUGAAUAAAACUGAUGCUUCUAGCUUUAUAAGUGGGGGUGCCUUCGGUUAUUUCCAAGCUUUAUGCCAGCAAUCCUUUCCUGGUCCACUUGUUGGUGGGAACGCUGCAACAAAGGACGUCAACAAAUGGCUUGAUGAGAGGAUCAUGAGCUGCGAAUCUAUCAGCACAGAUGUCCAAAAAGGAGAAUUUUUAAGGCUGCUUCUUUCUUUGCUUAAAAUAUCAUGUCAGCAUUAUGGAAAACUUCGAUCUCCUUUUGGGUCUGGUCCGUCAGUAGAGGUACCUUUGCACUUAAAUUUUUUUAAUUUUGAAUGCAUUACUAUUACUUUCUUGUUAAUUCUCUUAAAAAAGGUGCUUCUUUCUGGGAUGGCAAACAAUGUUUAAAGAGUGGAAAUGGAUUGCAAGUUGCCAACAUACUGUAUGUUGCUCGUGCGGUCAUUUGGUGCAUAUGAGGUUCCCAUAGAAUAUAAUUCAAAUAUUUAAGUACAACAACAUGGUAACAGUAUGUGAUAGACUGAAAGAGAAUACAUAAAAGAUUUAGAAAAAGAUGGGAAGAAAAUAAAUUUGUCAUUGACCAUUACAAUGACACAUUAUUUAGCACUAUAACACAAUAAAUGAUUGUAUCAAACCUUCAGAUAAAUUGACGUAAGGAAGUAUUCUAAAUGCAGAAUACUCAAUAAUCAAUAUUGGAACUACUGAUGUUUCCAAUUUUCAAUACCUUUAUACAUGGUAUCCUUAAAUUACUCAUAUUUAUCUAUAUAACGCAGGACAAUAUGAAGUUGAGUCAUUGAUAAAUAAUUAUGCUCUUUGGGGAUAUGUCUAUAUGGGGAAGUUAAUAGAUAUCUGUAUAUGUCCUCCCACAUGGAGGUGGAUAAACUACUUUUUAGAAUAAUAAUGGUAAAGAAACAUGAGGAUCCCUCCUGCUGUAGGUUGUUUUGAUGUGGAGGUCUUGGGCUCCAUAUGGAUUCGUUGAAGUUAAACUCGGUGUUCUUUAUCAUGAUCCAUGACUCUUCCAUUAUAACAGAAGCAACUGUUGCUUUAAUCAGCACGUUGACUUUAAUCAGCACAUCCUUGCCAACUUUUGAUGAGUGAAGCUAUCAUCGUAAUCCAUCUUUAACGUCCUUAAAGAGUUGUAGCUUAAAUGCGUAAUAUCCCAUUGUAUUGUUAUUCUUUAGUGUAAUCCUUUAUGGAGUUCAACAUGCUAAAGUCAUUUACUUAAUGUAGCUGAGAAUGAAACAUAUGGUGGCUAAUUUUAUAGGUUUUUUAGAUUUGUGACUUUUCAAACUAUCGUGGAUUGUAAAAAUUCACCUGGAAUAGGAAGAACCGAAGAAGCAUUUAAUAUGGUCACUUUUUGACGUGAACACUCUAGUCUUCGAAUGAGGGAGGACACAUCUCAAAUAUAAUUCUCUAUGCAAAGCAAUCCUCUCCUCUUCUAUCUAGAAAUAUUUUCUGAUUGCAUCUGCCAUGAUUCUUUUGUAAUUCUGUUCAUUCUACUUCCUGUUUCUUCUCCUUCCCUCCCUCGCUCACCCCCCUUUCUCUCUCUCUCUCUUUCUCUCUCUCUCUCAACUCCCCUUGAGGACCCUCUCAUAAUCUACUCAUUUUCUAAUAUAUUCUCCCACUCUACUCUCUAAAUAAAAGCAAAUCUAUCAUCGAGUAUAUGCAUUCGCAAUACAUUUGAAUUUGUCAAGACGCAUCUGCUUUUGGUGCCUUGAGUAUAUCUUCAUUCAGGGAGAGAUGGUGGAUUUCUUUGCUUAUUGUAGUAUUUUGUGUUCUUUAUGUCCAAAGGAUUCCUUGUACUCACAAAGGUGGCUAGAAAGAAUCUUGACUGCCCUUUCUAUUCUUGGCUAUGAGCUUUUUAAUCAUCUUACAUUGCUUUUAAGCAACGACUUGACCUAAAAGCUAUUGGACUAUAUUUCCAAAUAAUAGUUUCAUAACACAUGGUAGUUUGUUUUAAAAAUAGAAGCUGUGAGAUACAACUUUAUGAUACACUAUUUGACCGAUUACUGGAUAAGAUCCAUUUGGUUGUUCAUAGUUUCUUGUUUUAUCCAUUAAAUAUAUAUCCAGGUUUUUUCCUGCUAAUAUGUUCAUAGUCUUUUUGAAGUUUCGCACUUGUUCUAUGUUCAAACAUAUUCGUCCUUAGUAAUAACAGUUUUGACAUUUUCAACUAAAUUCUGUUUCUUAUUGACAGGAAAAUGAUGGUCCAGAAAUGGCAAUAACUAGGCUCUUUGCAUCUGCUAAGAAAGCCAGUGCUCAUCUCAAUGAUUACGGCUCUGUCACACAUUGUAUGCAAAGCCUUCCCUCUGAAAGCCAGAUCCGGGUAAUACUUUUUUAUGUCCAUGGUUAUUCUAAAACAGUUUUACUUCGAGUACUUUAUGCAUAUAGACCGUAUUUUUAGGCAACUGCUGUUGAGGUACAAAACCUUCUAGUUUCUGGUAGAAGAAAAGAGGCUCUCCAGUAUGCACAGGAUGGUCAGUUGUGGGGAGCUGCCCUUGUUCUUGCUGCUCAGCUUGGCGAGAAGGUUUGUGCAACUACUAUGGUUUUCUACAAUAAGCACUUACUUUAUUGGUGACUUUGUUGACCUGAUUUUUUUCCCCCUUUCUUUUUGUUAGUACUUUGGCAAAUGCAUUUUUUUUCUUGGUGGCUAAAAUAGCUUUUUGCUGCAAUCUAAUAUACUCUCUUGUUACCCAUGAACUGUGAUGCAGUUCUAUGUUGAUACUGUGAAGAAAAUGGCUCAUCGCCAGUUUGUAUCAGGAUCACCUUUAAGAACAUUAUGCCUUCUUAUCGCUGGGCAACCUGCAGAUGUAUUUUCGGGAGAUAGCCCAACCAAUAGCACUUAUGGUGUGUUAAAUGCUCUACAACAGCCUAUGCAGGUAAUUUCUCUGCUAUUAUUUUCUUCUCUGGUAGUUGAUUUGAUGAUUUGCUUGAACUUAGCUUGCCAUGUCCCCCCCCCCCCCCCCCCCCCCCUGCACAACCCCCUCCUCUUUUUCUCUUCUCCGCACUUCAGUGAAUUGUUUUAGAAAUACUUCUGUGCCUGUUCUGUGCCACUUUAUGAGCUUAUUUACUGUUUUCAUGUGACUAUAGAAUCAAACCAGUGGCAUGUUAGAUGACUGGGCAGAGAAUUUGGCUAUAAUAACUGCGAAUAGAACCAAGGAUGACGAACUUGUGAUGAUUCAUCUAGGAGAUUGCCUUUGGAAAGAGAGAGGGGAGGUACGUAUAUUGCCUUUUGCCUGCUUACGUCUUCUUUUGGGAUAUUCACUUGUAUAAACUUGCAGAAUUAUCUGUAUUCCUAUAUACAGUAUCUUGCAAAAUCUGAAUCUUCAUGUAUGCCCUGCAAAAGUUCUAUUUCUUAUAUAUCCCUGCAUUUACAAAAUGACCUCCUUAACCACAUUCUACUUGAAAACUGACUUUCAUGAAUUUGAUGAUGCCCCAGCUUAAAAUAUGGCUAAUUUAUACAUACAUACAACUGCGCUUUUGGGGACGUAUACAGAAACUCAGUUUUCUACAGAGUAUAUUGUAAAUUGUAAAUAAAUGAUUUUUCGGGGAUACAUACUUGAAGAAAGCAGGAGUGCAAGCCACUCAAGCGGGAGAAGGUUUUCUGACUAAAGUUUUGUGAUAUAUUACAGCUACGUGUUGUUUGAUGCAGGUAACUGCAGCGCACACCUGCUAUUUAGUUGCGGAAGCAAAUUUUGAGGCCUACUCUGAGAGUGCAAGGCUCUGCCUCGUUGGUGCAGAUCACUGGAAAUGUCCUCGAACAUUUGCGAGCCCUGAAUCUAUUCAGGUGCUUUAUCUUUUACUUGUUAGACAUGCUUUGACAAAUUUGAAAAUGAUUUCCUGCUUACUUUCUUAACAUGCUAAGAAGUAUUCUUCGUGGGAAGACUAAGUUUUCUAUUUAGAUCUUCCUUCCAGAUCGCUUUUAACAGCAUUCUAGGUCUAUUCACCUCAUUUCUGGUGUGAUGAUGUCUAUGUUUGUCCGUUUGGAUUUUUGUCAAAAUUGGAGUGGGAAAUAAAGAAAUUAGAUUUAUCAAGACGGCAAUGAACCUUUUUCUUUUCUUGCCCCCCCUCUUUUGCGUAAAAUUUCAUUCAUUCUCAUAUUGAUUGAUUGUCUGAUGGUACGAUGCUAUGUUGUCAUAUGUAAUAGGCAGAAUUGAAAGGAGACUCGUAGCCUUGUUUGGUAUUGUGGUGCCAAAAGCACCUGCUUUUAUGUUUUGAAAGGCCCGAAAAAUCCAAUAGUGCUUCCAAUUUGCCCUCCGUCAAUGCUAUAAAAUUGCGGUGGGAACCGCCACUGGAGAAGGAAGCGGUUACGAGCUUCUUCGGUGGCAGUUCCCACCGCAAUUUCAUUGCAUUGGAGGAGGGAAGAUUGGAAGCGUUUUUGGAUAUUUGGGGCCAUCCAAAGCAUAAAAGUAGGUGCUUUUGUGCCAUUAUAAGUAGGGUUGUCAAUGGGUAUGGAUACCCGAAAUUUUAUCCGAACCCGAAUCCGAAUGAAACGGAUAUAUCCGGUGAAUAUGGAUAUGGAUUCGGAUAUGGAUAUAAAAAAUAGAAACCCGACGGAUAUGUAUUCGGAUAUGGAUUUUGAUUGUACCCGACCCGAACCCGAACCCAACCCGAACCCAAAUUUAUUUUGUAUUAUAUAUAAUAUAUAUAUAUAAAAAUUUGAUGUUAUAUUUGAAUUUGUAUUUUAAAAAUUUAGGUUUAAUAUAAUAUAUUUUGAAAUAUUGAAAAAAUAAAUAAUUGUUUCGGGUUCAAAUUUUCGGGUUCGGGUUCAGGUUCGGGUUCGGGUUUCGGAUUUUUGGUCGGGUUCGGGUUUGGAUAUGGAUUUUUAAAAUCCGUCGGGUUCGGGCUCGGGUUCGGGUCUCCGGUUUGGAGUCAGGUUCGGGUUCGGGUUUUUAAAAAUCCGCCCCGAAUCCGACCCGUUGACAUCUCUAAUUAUAAGUAGACCCCUCAUUUUUCUUUUUUGGAGUGAGACCUCUCAACCUUUGAUUGUCUGAUUUUUUAUUGCAUUCCGUCAGCUGAAUUGGGGACUCCGUUAGAGUUAAUGUCGAUGCCACCUCUUCAGUUGACAGAAUUGUGAAUCUCCUUUGAUAGUUGACAGCUAGCAACUGAUCAAGCCCCCAAUUCAGCUGAUUGAGUUACUAAAAGUCAAGAGGAAGGAAUUUGCAGGGUGUCGGUUGAAAGAAGUAAAGUUUGGUGUUCUCUAGUUCAGCGGGUUCCAAUACAAUUUCUUUUUCCUACAUAAGAUGUACACACACUUCUUUUUUGUUUGUCAAGGUUUUUUAUUUUUGAUUUUGUUUUGUUCUCGAUGAAUUUCUUACAGAGAACAGAGUUAUAUGAAUACUCCAAAGUGCUCGGCAAUUCUCAGUAUAUCCUUCUACCAUUCCAGCCAUACAAGCUAAUCUAUGCCCACAUGCUUGCCGAAGUGGGGAAGAUUUCUGAUUCAUUACGGUAGGGUUUUUAAUUAUUUUCCCAUUUCUUUGGUAAUAUAUUCUAACUCAUAUUUAACCUCUUAUGAUCUAGGUAUUGCCAAGCGUCUUUAAGGAUGCUAAAAUCAUCUGGCCGCGCUCCUGAAGUAGAAACAUUGAAAUCGUUAUUUUCAUCCCUUGAGGAGCGAAUACGUACCCACCAGCAGGUAUAGCAUCCGUACAAUUUGCUUUAGGGUUAAUUACAAGUUGGUCCUUGAAGUUUGUUCCCGAUUUUCAAUUUCAAUUAAGUUUUUAGUUUUCCAAUUUUAACAGUUUAGCCUUUGGAUCUUGUUUGCCAUAAUACUUUAGUUCUUCCAUUACUCUACUGUGUGAAAAUGCAGUGCUAGUAUCAGUAUGAGAGUUCACUGCAGCCCCAAUCUCAAACUGAUAUUUCAUUCAGCAAAUGCUAAUAAUGAUUGCUGAUUUGGCGUCUUUUUCCAUGUGGUAGCUUCCCUACAACCAUCUCUUGGGACGCUCUAGAGAGUAAAUUGUUAAUUGAAAUUGAAGACGUAUUGAAAUCAGAUCAAACUUUGAGGGCUAAAUAUGUAAUUAACCCUUAAUUGUUGUUUAAACUAAUAUCCAUUUUAAAAGUGUACUAAUAUUUCUUUUCUUGUUCUUCAAGGGUGGAUACAACACAAACCUUGCCCCAGCUAAAUUCGUAGGGAAAAUCUUUACCUCAAUCGACAAGUCGAUCCAUCGCAUGAUUGGGGCGCCGCCUCCACCUCUUCCCCCAAUGCCUCAAGGCAGUGUGAGCAGUGUGAAUGAUAAAGAACGCUAUGCUGUGGCCCCACAGAAGUUUGUAAAUAGCCAAUCAGCGAUGGCGAUGUCAUCUCUGAUGCCAUCAGCAUCGGUCGAGUCGAUAAGUGAGUGGACUGGGGAUAAUAGCGGUGUUAGGAAGAGUAUGCACAAUAGAAGUGUUUCAGAGCCAGAUUUUGGUAGAAGCCCGAAACAGGUCUCUCUCUCUCUCUCUCUCUCUCUCUCUCUCUCUAGAGUAGAAUAUGCAACUCAAUUUGCUUAAAGGUAAGGAUAUUCUAAGACCCUCUUAACUAUAGGCUUCUUUGAAAUAGAAUCCUCAGUUUAUUUUUUAAAAUUGAUAGUCAAUUCUUUUUUCUUAGCUGAUUUGGCAACUGUUCAAUUGAAUUGACAAUACAGUCGGUGAAAUCAAAUUACUCAAAACUCGAGUGUCAAUAAGAAAAGGUGAGCGGUUUUUAAAAAUGGCCUAUAGUUGAGGGGGUCUUCGUACAAUUACCUUAGAAUCGAGCUGCACUGAAUAAAGAUCCUCCUCUUUGCUGACUUUAUGUUGUAUUUAUAAACAGAAGGCAGGAUCGGUUGGUACACAAAGCAAAUCAGCCGAAUUGGGUAGUUCACGGUUCGGGAGGUUUGGCUCUACGCUUCUUCAGAAGACCAUGGGGUGGGUCUCCAGAUCCCACCGACAGGUACUUUCUUCUUCAGUAUUCAUCCUCUCUCUCUCUCUCUCUCUCAUUUUAGCUUAUAUAUAUAUAAUUAUGAAUUUUGGCUUCUUUUUUUUAUGUUCCUGUAGGCGAAACUUGGUGAAAGUAACAAGUUCUACUAUGACGAAAAGCUGAAGAGGUGGGUGGAGGAAGGUGCUGAAACUCCAGCCGAGGAAGCUGCUCUACCACCUCCUCCCACCACAACCUCUUUCCAGAAUGGUAUGCCGGAUUAUAACACUAAUAUUAGCAGUCACCAUGCAGUAAAAAGCGAACUCCACACUGCUAAUGGAAUCCCUGAAGCAAAACCCCCGAAUCUGUCUGAAUUUAGUCCGGGAAUCCCACCAAUUCCGCCUAGCCAGAACCAGUUCUCAGCUCUCGGCAGAGCGGGUGUUCGGUCAAGGUAAUCUUUUGUGGUACCAUUAACUAUGGGUUAAUUAUUUCAUGAUGCUCCUCACUUCAACUAUCCGCUUAUUAACAUGCAACAUAAACCUGCUAAUUUCUCAUUUUGCAAUUCUGGUUCACUCUUUUUUUUAAAAAAAAAAUGGAUCAAAAUCUUUUUUUAGACAAAACACCUUUGGCUUCUCGAUGAUAUAUGCUUGAGAUUUAUCUUUCUUUCUUCCUUGAUGGGACUGAAAGCCAGUAGACAACGCAGAAGAAUAAUUUAAACCUUUUUGUUCCUCAAUAACAUUUACCUUUUUUGUUCGCUAAUAACAAAGUCAUCGGUUUUUUACUGUCAGAUAUGUGGAUACAUUUAACAAGGGCGGAGGUGGUGGAACUGCGACAAACCUUUUCCAAUCACCUCCUGCUGCUCCAUCUGUAAAGCCUGCAGUAAACGCUAAGUUCUUCAUUCCCUCCGCUCCUGUCACCGUUGACGAAAAGAAAACCAAACAACCCUUAGAAACCAGCCAAGAACCUCCCACCACCUCGGAAGAGCUGUCCACAUCAGCAGUAACUGAAGUCUCAUUCUCUUCGCCGCCAUCUGCUUCAUCAUCCUCACCAUCGAUGCAACGGUUUCCGAGCAUGGAUAACAUGACUCCUUACGGAAACAGAAGGCAAGGACCUGUGUCGGAGCGCGCGAAUGGCCCUAUAUCAAGAACUCGAGCUGCUUCUUGGAGCGGCAAUUUUGGGGACUCAUUCAACACCGUGAGCACGGAAAGUAAGCCUAACUCGUUGGAUGGACAAACUGUUCCGUCUUCGUUCAUGCCCGCCAAGUCUCUGCAGUUUAGUGGAAGCUCUUUGUCGGACGAUCUUCAUGAGGUGGAGCUCUAACAUUUGGCCAUCAUCAUUACGGGGAUGGCCGUGCUUAAUUAUCGGAGCCUCUCUCUCAUCCUCUGUCCCAAGAUCUCCCAAGAAAGUCAAAUGGGGCUCGAGUCAGGUAUCGGUUUUACUACCGGAUUUGUUGUGAGAAAUCUUCUCGUUUGAUUAGAAUCAGAAAGAAAAAGGGAAAAAAAAAAGAGGCACCAUUCCGAGGUGCUUCCUGUAUUAAAUUCCAGAUUUUUGAGUUUACCUUGUGGUUUAAUGUUCGCAAUGUCGAAAGUGGUGUCCUGUUUACAUGAAAAAAAGAAAAGCAUGUAGACGCCGUUGUACAGAUAAUUUGUCAAUUUAUUCGAACAUGAAAAGUUCCCAUUAUAUUGUUUUUUUAAGAGAACAGGCAUCUGGGAAAGAAGAAAUAUUUUAGAGAGCGACGAGGGCAAUUACAAUCUAUCUUUGUAAAACGAACACAAAUAAUCAGUUCUUUACAUGUCUGAAUUUUGUGAAGUCUUGGUUUUGUGAACUCCUUUGUUCUUCAAUUGGAUCUUGCAGUUGCCUCAUUUUCACUAACUGAGUUGUGUUUAUUUAUGAAGCAAACAUGUACUGAUGCAGUUCGUCUUCGCCUUGACUUUAGUUUAUUGAUUGAAGAUAUGUUCGCUGAAAAGCGGAUCUACUUUUUUUGUUCUUUAUGAGCAGGUCGUCCUUGCGGUUCACUAACCUUGCGUUGAGCUCCGUUGGUUCUUGCGGUUUUUUCGGAAUCUGGAAACCGAAGCUACAGGUUGAGACUUUGCGGCUUUUAGGGAAUCUGGAGAGACAAAGCCACAAGUUUAGAAUGUGGACUGUUUGAGUGUUUCUGGUUACUGAGCUUCGUUGUCGGUCUUGUUGUUGUUCGGAAAAGAAAAGCAAGGCAUUAUGUUGGUGUUGGGGGUUCAGCUUCUGCUUUUACUGCUGUAGGAAGCUGCUGAGCGAAUUGUAAUGUAGUUUUUUGUGUAAUUUUGAGGAACCAAACUUGAACGGUGUUGCAGCAGAUAUUUCAGCAGUUCCACAUCUGCAUCAGAAGUAGGGAAAGGUAUCUGUAUCUGAUAGAAGAACAAAGUCAAAAAAAAGGGUGCAAAAUGAAAAAGGGGUUGACUUGUCAAAUAUCCGUUUAACUAUUAUUCAUUGCGUGUUGUGCCGAUACGAGCUGGUCACAAAAAUUACAAGAUUUUUUUUUUUCUUUAAGAACAAAAUAUUUUAAUUGUUUAUUUUGUGCCUUUAUCAAAUCUUUUAAAUUUUAUUAAAAAAUUAUAUAUUAAUUUAAAGAAAAGAAGGUUUCGGUUCUUGCUGUUUUGAACUAAAAAAUGAGAGAGAUUUAUGAAGUCUAAGGUUUUUUACUUAUUAAUAAAUAUAGUUGCGAGAAUUGCAUAAAGUGUACUAAUUAAAUUUGUAGAGAUAAAUACUAUUGACUAAAUGAAAUCGAUUAUAUUAAAAGGUUAGAUAAUAAAAACAAAAUUUUGAAAAGUUGGAUAACCGGUUCAAAAUUGUUCAUAGUUCAGAAGAGGUUCAUAUAUUUUUACUUUGAUUUUAAUAUCAAACUUUAAUGUCAUAUUUAUAAUCUAAUCAGCGAUCAACUUUAUAUUCAAAAUUUUGGAAUAAUUCAAAAAAUGAUUGGUGGACUUCUAAUUUUAACAAUUAUGAUUUAUUAGAUAGUCUAAUAGAUUUUUUUUCUCUCGAAUGAAAUUACUAAUUGAACAAAACCGAUCAAUACUUAACUCUGUCUUCGCUUGAAAUACAAAUAAAGCAUAAAAAGAAAGAUAAAGUUUCGUGACACUUUAAUCCUCGAUUUUUCAUGCGCUACAGUUUUUGUCUUAAAUUGUAAGCCACGUGAUACUUUAGUUCUCAAAUUUUAAAUAGUUGCAAAUUAUUACUGAAAUAUGAUAGUUUAGUCCUCAACUUUUACUGUUGCUAUAAAUAUAAUUUAUUAUUCUUAUGAUUCUGCCCCUAUUAUUUCACAUCCUUCUUAUAUAUUUAUUAUUAUAUUUUUAUUAUAGUAGCAGCUACUUCUUCUUUAGUUUGGUUUGCCAUAGGCAUAUCUUGGUCCUCAUUAAUUGGCCACCUACCUAAAAAUAAUUUUAGAUUCAGAAUUACUUUUGGACUCAGUAUAAUAUUUGGCGACUGAAAUAAAAAAAUCUGAUUUUACUUUUCAGAAUCAAAAAUUUUUUUUCAACCUCUAAAGUCAAAAACAGAAAAAAAAAAUAUUUUUCCAAAACUGAUUCUGACAAGGAACAGUUUUCCCCCUCAACAACUUUAUGAAAAUACCAAAUCUACCCUGAACAAAUAAGACAACUAACUCUACUCUACCUUUUUAUAAAUAAUUACACUUUCCAACCACCACUUUCUCACUCUCAUACUCCUUCCAUCCCAUACUCCUUCCACAGCCAUCUAUGCACUACAACCCAAAAAAAAAAAAAAAAAUUCAUUUCUA